CAUUUUCAUUAAAAAUGAGAGUUGUUCUUCUUGUUGUUAUGGCACGAUAGAAGCAAAAGAAAUGAAACUGGAUGAUUUCUUUUUCUGGAGAUUUUUGGUCUCAAAAUGCUCUAGGCCUCCUUUUUUGUUUGUAAUUUGUGGAGUUGGGCCAAAUUGUAUUUAGGUGUGGAGGCUUUCUCUCUUAUAGGCUUCUUGGAGUGGGUAGCAUCCAUUUAAGGGGAGGUGAAUCUUUUUGUCUUUGUUUUUUGAGGCCUUGGCUGCCUUGUAUAUCCCAUGUAUGCUUUGUGGCUUUUUGCCACUUUAUUAAUGCAUUUCUUCUUUACUUAUCAAAAAAAAAAAAACAUUUAAAUUCCUGAUUUUAGAUUGCAGUCAUGAUAUGCUCAUUGCCUGAUUUUAGAUUGCAGUCAUGAUAUGCUCAUUGAUUUUUCUCUUCUGUUUUCAGGACUAUAUUUGAUGUUGAUAUUGAUAGUUUUGAGGAAAAACCAUGGAGACAUCCUGGUGUUGAUAUAUCUGACUUUUUCAACUUUGGUUUCAAUGAGGAGAGCUGGAAACAGUAUUGCAAACAACUGGUAUUAGCAUUUAUCAUAUUGUCUACUGAAUAAUUGAAAACUAAGAAGAGGGCCUAAUUUUAAAUUCUUCAGGAACAACUCCGUCUGGAGGCUACUAUGCAAACCAAGAUUCGUGUUUAUGAAAGUGGGCGAACAGAGCAGGUAAAAAAUUGCUUUUGCGUGUGGAAGUAGUUCAAUUUUUUUUUUCCUGGAAACAACGGUUGGGAAAUUGCAAAGAAAAAAGAAGAAGAAAAAAGUAGUUUUAUUUUUUAUUUUUUUAUUUUUUAUUUCGUACUGCUUUCAUUUCAGGAGUAUGAUCCCGAUCUGCCACCAGAACUUGCAGCAGCAGUAGGUAUUCAUGAUGUUUCGGCUGAAAAUGGAAAUCUUGGAAGGGCUGAUGUUGGACCUAGUGAUUUAGCAAAAGCUUCUGCUCGUGUGCGGCCACCAAUUGUAUGUACUAGCUACAGAAUCCAGAUUUGCAUUUUUAUCAGAAUCUUGAUUGAUUUUGCAAGGAAAUAUAUGUAUUUUUUUUCCCUUUCUUUUCCUUUAGCUCUCUUUAUUUCAGAGUGAUUACUCAUAGGCUUAGAUGCUAAAUGCUACUCUUUAGAUUAUUGAGUUUAUUUGCUAGAUCAAUUUCCAGUAUUAAUGGUUAAGGAUUUUCUACCAGCCGACUGGGAGAGCAAUACAGGUGGAAGGAGGUUGUGGUGAACGUCUUCCUUCUGUUGAUACUCGACCCCCCCGAGUUCGUGAUUCUGAUGCAAUUAUUGAGGUAAUCAAUCAAAACGGUUCUUUACUGUAGUGAUUGUAAUGAUCUUUUUGCACAUGUUUAUAUCGUAUAUUGGCAUAUGGAAUGGAACAUAAAUUUAUUGAAGAUGUUUGGGCAAACAGAUUACGUUGCAGGGCUCUUUAGAUGAUGAUUCCCCUACAGGGAAUGGUGCCCCAGAGCCACCAGACAAUGAUCUUCCUAGAGAGGAUCUCAGAGUAGGCAAUGAAGUUGAAGAUGAUGCGGCACAGGAAGAUACUGAAUAUUUUGACAGUUUUUCAACCACUUAUAGUGGUAGGAACAGGGAGCUGGUUGGAAGAAGUGCACCUUUCAUGAAUUCCCUUCGUGAUGACAUGCCUGGAGGAGACGGAAUUCUGCCCUUCCCUCCAGAGGCACCUGUUCAGUAUCGUCCUGGUUCUAGGGGGCAGGACCCUGUACAUCCUGGUGGGAACUUUGGCACUCCUCAUGAGGACAGGUAUGAAAUACAUUUGGACAGAUGUUAUAUGUAUCUCCAAUUAUUUAUAAAUCAUAAAUCAAGGUAUUUAUUGUGCUCUCUAACCUGUUGCUAUCAUGCUUGUGCAAGCUAGGGAAUCAAAGCAGCAGUCCCUUGUAUCUAAUUUUUUUUUUUGUUCCUUACAAAUUGGCUUGCCUUUCAUGUGUGUUAAAAAAAAAUCUGAUAUAUGGAAUAUAAAAUAUCAAGUGAUGUAAAAAUAAAUUUAAAAUAGGUAUGGGAAGAAAUAGAGGAAAUGGGUUCAAAGUUACAACAACCAUAAUACCAAUUAUUAGAUUAGGAUGAAGUUGGUCACUAUAUUCUUUCUCUUCCAAAAAUCUAAACUUUUAGCAUGGAUUGCCCUUGUAAAAAAAAGGAUACUUUGUUGUUUCAGUGGUUUUCUGCUACAUAUUUUUGGUUGAGUUGAAAAUGUUGAUGUACCUACAAAAGUUUUGCAGAUUAGUCAAACUAGGAGGUGUGGUGUGGUUGGUAUUUUGUGGAUCAGUACCAUAAUGUCAUCCUAAGAUUGUACCUCCUAGUAUGUAUCUUGUUUUCGUCCACUGCUCCUCCAACGUUGCUGCCAUUGGGUAAAGUGGAGUUCAAGUUAUUGGAACUCUGAAGGAAAUGAUUAGUGGUUGGAGGUCCUGCCUGAAGCUUCUAAAUGGAGCAAGCUGUUAGGAUGUCAAGGCCAAAUCAGCGUAAUCUCUAUUGUUGCCUAAUUAACUAACAGUUUACCUUUUUGGGUCAAUUGGUGGUUUCAUCUAGUGUUGGAACUUUGACUUUUGGGCAGUCAUGAGUUUGAACAUAGCUGCUCCUUUUUUUCUUUGAUUUAUUGAACAUGCUUGCAAGUAUAAUAAGACUGCACUAGGGGUAGAUGUUAGGGCUUUAGUCCUAGCCGGCUUGAUGUACAUUGUUGGCUUGUUACCCAACAACUGAAGUGUUUGUAUGUAAUCUUGGUCUUGGUCUUAGUCAUGUAUAGAUGUAAGACCUUUACCUUUAAUCAACAUUUUUGAUUGGUUGGGUUCUAGAUGAGGGCUGGUGAGUUUUUUGUGUCACCUCUUCUUUUUGUUUUUCCCUUUAGGCGCCUCUUGUAUAUCCCUGUAUGCUUUGGGUUGCCCUUUAGGCACCCUUUUCUCUUAAUAUAUUUUUUCUGUGUGAUUAUCUAGCAAAAAAAAUAAAAAAUAAAAAAAUAAAAAUUAUAGACCAUUACCUUCCUUCCCAUUGUCUGAUUGUGUUGACAUUGUUCUCCCCCACCUUCCCCAGGGAGCAUUUGGCUUUUGAUAGCCAUUUUAACAUCUUGCUGCUGUAUACUUCUUUUGGUAGCUUUUCUCUGACUGUUACAUGGAAUAGAACCUGGGACUCUCUAUCUCUAACCCAUCUCUUGUUACUUACACUUGUCCGUAAGGGCAGCACCAUGAUCCAACAUGCACCUUGUUGUGCCAUGUAAAUUUUAAAAAAAUUAAGGGAUCUGUUUAGAGAAGCAGUUUGGCAAGUCUGGUUGUAAAACCUAGCGUUACUCUAUAAAAUGUCGAAAAGUGGUCAAAGCAAGACAUUCCAGCAUUGAGGACCAUAAGAUUGCCCUGCACAAAUACAUAAAGAAACUAGCUGUGAUUUAUUCAAAUAAUAGAAAAACACCACUACCAGUCUACCACCACCGUCAUCAUCAUUGCCUGUCUCACCUUUUCUCUAAUGCCCUAACUCAUCCUUGUCUUUUCAGUCUCUUCAUUUGAACUGGCUUGUUCCACCUUGAUUUUCUGAUGGUCAUAGCAACUACUCAGGCACUCACAAUAUUUUCUCUACUCUCCAGAUUUGAUGUGAUUUCCUAAGUAUUAUUUAUUAUCAUCAUCAUUGCUUGGUGGUCCUGUAAUCAAAUCAUGCUUGUGAUGCUUUAUUACGUUCUAAUGUGGGAAAACCUUGGAAAAAAAAGGUAAAAAGCAAUGGCAUAAAAUAAUUAAUAUGCGGCUUCUAUGGGUUGCAAAUCAUUGUGACACCCGCCUCCCUAUUUUUUCUCAUCUCUUGUGGUUCUUGUAUCUUUCUGUUCAAAUGCUGACAUCUAAUUUUUCUUCCCAUUCUAAAACUUAUUAAAUAAGUACUUUGUUGCUAUUACAGACCUAUUCAGUGGAUAUAUUAUUUCUCUUGGAUGUCUGCAUCUUAUAUUUCCAGUUUUGUUUCAUAAAUUACAUUUCCAAUUGAUGGUUGUCAUGCUGGACACUUUGUUUACAUGACACCCUCCUCUGUCCACAUUGAUUGGACACUUACAAACUAUCCAAAUUUUAUUUACUUAGAAAAUGUGUGGACAAUACUGUAUGCCUUUUCUGUUUUUCGUUCUUGAUGUUUCUUUUCUCCAUUACAUUAUAAAGUUAUUACUUUGGUCAGUAUUUAACUGUUUUGGGUUCUUCCACAAUUAUUCCACCUACAUGAACAAACUCAGCACUGAUAAGUAUGCUAUUUCAACACAGUUGAUUUGUGAAUGCAAACAUGCACAUUUAUAUACAGACAUAUGAGCAAACAUAGACACAUGCAAUGAGUAUUUGUUUGUGAGAAUGCGUAUGAGGAAGGUUUUCUUCAAAUUAGUUACACCUUUCCGUAUGUUCAUUCUGCAAUGGUGAUGUUGCAUAAGAAGGUGGUGAUAAUGAUAUUGAAAUUUGGCUUUUGAACCAUGUAUCACCUUAGCAGUAUAUUUUUCAAAAGAAUUAGUAAAUGCUGACAUUUGAUUCUGCUAUUGUUGUGUCUGAUGCAUCUCAUGUAAUACUUCCUUGAACCAUACUUUGGGUUGGGGUUAUGCAUGGCCUCAUCAGGUACUUCUGUGGUGUAUUUCAGUGUAUGGGGCCUGUUUUAGACUAUUAUUUAUCUAACAUUUUCCCUAAUGAUCCUCUAUCGGUUGCCUUCUUUUUUACUUGGCAUGAAUUGUAUGCUAAUGUAGUUGUUUGGAGGGAUUUCUCUUCCUUUGUUGUAAUUUUUAGUCCACUUAAAUAAAGCAGUGUCUUAUCCAAAAAGGAAAAAAAAAAAGUUUACUAAUGAGGCUAGAGUGGGGAAUAGCUCAACAUUGAAGUAAAAUUUUUUUUUCCCGGAAAGGUAAAAAUUCAAUGUUAUUAAAACUAAGAAAAAUGUGGAAUUACAAUUUUAGUAGAGUUGAAGGAAGAUUCUAGUUAACAUUAGUGACUUAAUGUUACAAAUACAUGGGAGGGGUAUUUGUGAUGUCAUCAUUGAUGAGGAGUAGAACAAAGGAAAUGUUGCACAUAGAAUUAAAAUGGAGUGGAUGAAGUGGAAAGGUGCUUCUAGAGUUUUUUGCAAGCUGAAUAUACAUUUAAUAUUGAGAGGAAUAGUUUCUAAGGCAUCUCUAACUAAUCAUCUUUUAUGUUGCAAUCUAGUUGGCUGUCGAGGAACAUGUUUAUAAAUUGUGUUUUUAUGAAAUGAUAGUGGGAUGAAUUGAGUGGCAGGACAAGGAGAUAUAUAACUAGAAAUGAAAGCAUCAGUGAGAGUUUAAUGGUUGCACCAUUUACAGGCAUGAUGGUUUUAAGUUGAUGGAAUGUUUUUGCCAUGCUCUAAAAAGAGCACAUGGUAAAAGGAGUAAUAUAAUAUGUAUAUGAGUGGAGCGGAAUGUACUGCAAGGACAAGGGAAUAGCCAAAAAAAUUGUGGUUCUAGGCAGAGGGAGGAUACAUGAAAGCAUGUGAUAUCAAUGGGAAAAUUUUCUGAGUGGUAUUCUGGAACAAGAUUAUGUAGCCAACACUAGAAUUUUGGGGCAAGGCUUUGUCGAGUUAUACAAUAACAAUAACCUGAGGUUUCCUAGAUCAGAUUACUGGUCUAUUCUUGUAUGCAUUGAUGUUAUCCUUGAUUUUUUUCUGGAUGCCAUCUGAAAUUGGCAAGAUAUAGAGGCUUCUAGUCCUAGAUGGUUUUGGAUAAUUGUUGACUACAAGCUUUAGUUAGUCCCUGAUGGUUUCUAGUCACAUUUUGUGCUGGUUUGGUGGUCUAAAAUUUGUGUCCUUUGAUCGUUUUAUCAUCCAAUUCCAUCUUGCAGAUAAAUUAUAUUUCAUGUAUGCUGAGAUUUUUUUAUUGGAAAGUUAUCAUCUUCGAUUUGUUACACAGUUUCCUACUUCAGGGAAAUUGCAUCUGAACUCAACUAAUAAUUUGAUCUUUUCUUGAACUUAGGCGUAUUCGUGGAAGAGCACAUGGUAAAUCACCCCACAUGACUCCUAUUCAGAGUACACGUGAUAAUAGAUUCCUUGAUAGCCAGAAAGAAGAAUCAGUUGAAAGCAUGGAUGUUAAGGGCAUGACAUCAUCUCCUGUCAGAGUUGCUCCUCCUCGGGAGCCUAGUGUUGAAAAGAAAGAUGCUGUGCAUGAUGAAAUUGAGCUGGCUGAUGGAAUGGAAAGAGAGGAAUUGACUUCAGAUAUAAUUGUCACAACUGAUACCUCUAAAGUUGGAAAUUCAGUUCAAUCCGGGAAGAAACAAAAACUAAGUUCUCGUGUUGAACAACCUCCACCCCAAGAGCUUGAUGGUGGAAUUGUGCUGGCUGAUGGAACCUCUGGAAUGGAAAGGGAGGAACUGACUUCAAAUACAAUGACCUCAACUGAUGCCCUUAAAGAUGAAAAUUUGAUUCCAUUCGGGAAGAAACAAAAACUAAGUUCUCGAGUUGAACAACCUCCACCUCAAGAACUUGAUGGUGAUGAGGACUUAAAGGCUACAAGAAGUAGUGAAAAUAGCAAAGCAAGAUCAGAAAGCAGCAGAGAUCUUCAGAAGUGGCAUGAUGGUGGUGAGGAGGAAGUUAUUGAAGAUGGAUCUUCUGUACGCAUGGGGAACAGCAAGAGGCACCUUGACGAAGAUGAACAAAGCUUCCGGAGAAAAGAUCGUGAUGGAAGACAAGAGAUGGAAAGAAGUCGCAUGGUAGUAAAAGGGAGAGAGGAUACUUAUCCUCAUAGAGACUGGGAUUCUAUCCCGAACCAUCAUUCACAUGUGAAAACUGAUAGCUUUGACAGGCGAAAGGAGAGGGACAGUUCUGAUGGAGGAUGGCAACGGAGAGAUGAUGAUCUGCAUGGUAGAAGAAUUCGACCUGAAGAUGCAAGGAAGCAGGAGCGUGGUGAUGAAAUGGGAUCUAGGCACAGGAGUAAGGUUCGAGAGAGUGAGAGGAGCAACAAAGAUGAGCUUCUUCAUUCAAGAAAGCUGUUGGACAAUGGCAGUUGGAGGGGCCAUCAAGAUAAAGACAUGGGAUCACGACACAGAGAAAGAGAUGAUAAUUUGAAGAGUCGUUAUGGAAACUUGGAUGACCUCCAUGGCAAAAGAAGAAAAGAUGAGGAGUAUCUAAGAAGGGACCAUGCUGAAAAAGAAGAGACCUUGCAUAGCCACAGAGAAAGUGCUAGUCGUCGGAAACGAGAAAGGGAUGAUGUUUUGGACCAGCGCAAGAGAGAUGAUCAACCAAGAAUAAGAGAUAACCUCGAUGAUCACCAUUCUGUUAGGCACAAAGAUGAGGGAUGGAUGCAGAGGGAGAGGGGGGAGAGGCAGCGGGAAAGGGAAGAGUGGCAUAGGCUCCGGCAACCCCAUGAAGAGAAUCUUUCAAAGCGGGAAAGAGAAGAAGGAAGAGGAGCAGUAAGGAGUGGGCGAGGUGCAGAAGACAAAGCAUGGGUCAGCCAUGCUAGGGGAAAGGACGAGUAUAAAGGCUCUGAUAAAGACUACCAAUAUAAAGACACAGGGAGACACAGCGAACAGCCUAAGAGAAGGGAUCGGGUAGAGGACGAAAGUUUUUCACAUCAUAGGGGACGUGAGGAUGUCUAUGCUCGUGGAAGUCAAUUUAGUAAUGAGGAGAGAAGAUCAAGGCAGGAAAGGUCAAGUGCUCGUAAUGAUCAUUCUUCCAAUGCAUCUGAUCACCAGAGGGUGCACGACAAAAAACAUAAAGAGAAUACAAGGAAGAACAAAGAAUCUGAGGGUGCUGAUAUCAGCACUUUGGGCCCUUCAAAGAGAAAUCAGGAAGAUCACAAUAGCCAGAGAAAUGAGACGGUAUGUUCCAUAUCCGGACACGAGAGCAUAAAAUUCUGUGGAGAUAAUGAGAAUGUCUCUUGAAAUGUUAAAAUAUCAGGAAAUGAGCCAGUAACUCCAAAAGAAAGAAGGAAAAAGUAAAAGAAGCUACUUAAGAGUUGGCACAUUAGCAAUACAAAUCUGUUGCUUAAUAUGGUGCUUAGUCUUGAAUAGGGAAAACCCACAAACUUGUUUUGAUGGGCUAAUAAAACUUUAUUGAAAAUCACUGAGCAACUCAAGUACAUUGGAUGCAUAUGCAUACAAAGAUUGUCUAGGCAACCAAAAGCAAAAACAAAAAACAAAAAGCUAUACAACCACCUAAAACCCAACGAAACUCUAAUCAUAUCCCUUAACCAGCAAGAGAGGAAGUGUGGGAGGAUUUCUUUCGUUUUCAACACCUAAAACUUCAAUCAUUUUCCCAAAAAGAAAAAAAAAAUCAUAACUAUUUUCUUGAGGUAGGUGUUUAGAAUUUUUACUUUAAAAUUCUAACUAAGCAUGUAUACUUAUGUGUUGUUGAUAUGUAUGUAUUUAAGUGUCGCCUCCAAGGCUUUAGCUUUUCAUGUUUGUUGCCAUUCCUUCUCCCACCAAAAAUAAAAACUCUGAAAGGAAAAUAAUAAUAAUAAUAAUAAUAAUAAUAAUAAUAAUAAAAAAAUAAAAAAAAAAUAAAAAAAAUAUUAAUUUAAAGUUCUUAUUUACCAUCCUUUACAAUGCCAACAUUCAAAACAUUCAAAUGAAGUUACCUAAUAUUUAUUGAAAAACUAAACAUGAAAAAUAUUCCAUGUUGCAUUAUUUUACUGAAAAAUUACUUUACUUUCAAUAUUUUUCGUGUCUUUGACAACAAUUAUAUAAGCUUUUUCAUGCAUUAUCAUUUUACCUCUUUCCUUUUUCUGUUCAAGUACAUUUUAAACAACUAAUGUAAUCAUUCUUUUAAGAAAAAAAAAUUUUGAAUUUAAUUUUUCUUAAAAACUAUAAAAAAUAGUUAAAGCCAUACAUAUCAUUGUAUCGUGUACCUAUUGUGUAUUGUAUAUCUUAACAUACACUUAAGAUGACAUAUGGACCAAUGUUGUAUCAUAUCUUGUAUCGUAAGUUCUUGACACUCUCACUUUAAGAUACUCUUAUAAUAACAUGCGGACCCAUGUCGUAUCAUAUCUUGUAUCAUAACUUUUUAGCAACCAUGCUUCAAACCUUUAAUCCCUUGACCAGAGAGUCUUGGUUAAAAAGGGCCACUUUCGGGAAGUUUAGGUAUCAUCUGUUUAUUGGAUCAUUGUUUCUGACCAAAACGAGAUGAAAUCAUUCCAGUUCUCUGAAUUUGAAACCUUGGUGGCCAACAAACAUUCCUUCUGGAAUUAUUUAUGAAAAGGUUAGUCUAGAUCAGUCACUGGCUCAUUUCCUAUUUACAUGUCAAGGGGCUGGGAUUUGAACUUUGUGUUCUUUGUUUUCAGAAUGUUCAUUGCAUCUAUGGUAUUAACAUGUCGCAUAUUCAGGAAAAUAACUUUAAAUUUUUAUAAUACGGCUUACCCCUCCAUUGAGCAGGUUCUGUAAUGCAAAUUAUAAAAAUGUAAAACAAUUAAUUUGAAUUUUGAAAUAGAAAAUCCUAUGUGUCAUCAUUGGUUUGCUUGCACUAUUCCUUCUCAAGUUCUGGUGUGCCUAGGAACCUAGGUGUUGAGGUUGUUUCCCCAGAGAUAGUUAAGGUUGAAAACCAACCUAAGUGUUGAGGAGACUGCCAAAACCCAGCCCAAUACAACCUUGAGUAGAGAUGUUCAACUCAACCUCGUGCUAGGUCAGGCUAGAUAAGACUGAUUGGGCUACUCAAGUGAUAAUUGAUUUUUUUAGCGCAUAUCUCAUGUUAAAACCGAAGUCCAAACAUGCAGUCCCUCAUACCACUGAAUGGUGCAUGCUGUCAAUGAAAUCCGAGGAAGAAAAUUUUCUGUCCGUCAAAUAUCCUGUCUAUACAUACAAAGAUCACAGGACAAUUUCAUGUAGCUUUCCUUUUGAAUUUUCUCAUUAAACCUAUUAAGCUCCUUCCAAAUGCACAAAGCUUAGCAAAAUGUGCUUGUCCUCUGUGUCUUCCUCUUUUCAAUCUUAAUGGACUUUUUGUGCCAGCUAGAGAACGUCUCACUCACCCUCUCAGCACCAAAAAUAUCGAGCCACUGAGCAGGGGAGCAAGAGGCAGUCAACAGUCUGAUUGUCCUUCCUGAACAUAAAACACCAAUUAGAAUAGUUUAUCGAAUUACCGCCAGAAAAAUAAGUGACUUUGGAGAGAAACUUUGGUGUUUUGAACAACCUACUCUGGAGGCCUAACAUCCUCUCCCCAGAGCACAGCCCUGAAUUCAUUAUCUUUUGCGAUCUUCUAUGGCGAAAGGUCCACCUUAUCCUGCUUACUUAAACAAACCAGUAUACAUCUGCCACCUAAAGGGCAUCAUCCAUCUCCAACUCCCAAUCAUAGAACUUGGAGAUAAUCCUUGGAAGCCAAAUUGAACACAACAAUGGGCAACUGUAGUGCCUCUAUUGUCUGCAAUUCUGACUAUUUCUGACAAUUUGAUUUUCAAAGGCACCUCACCACACUGCUUGUCAUGCCAAAACUUCACUUUUUGCUCAUCCAAAACCCUUUCUGCUUUGGGAGGGUUGAAAUAAUUUGCAUCAAAAUAAUGGAACUUGCAAUGAAAAUAAUUAUUAGUUUAUUCUCAAACCACAUGAAGUCAUCGGAACUAGAUUUCUUAUGCUGGUUGUAAUGAUUAAAAAUGUCCAAUUGUAUUGGAAACCAGUUAUUAUUAUUUUUUUCUUCACAUCUAAGAUCUAACAUAUCUAUAUUCUAAAUUCGCAAUUGUUUAGACACGAUGUGGUCCGAGUCCGGUUCAACUUGCUCAAGUUGUAAACCUAUGUUAGUCUAUGUUUUGGUGUCAUGCAUAUGCCUCUGCGUACUCUUCUCAGUGUUAGCAGACUAAUACAAAACAUUUGUUUCUCUGUCAAACUCUCAUUGGACAUGGAAACUUUGCCCAACCAACCUUUGGCUGUCUCCUUGCCACUCGCUGUCCAUAUUUGCUGAUAGUUUUGUAUCUUCAACCAUCACAAGCUGAGUAGUUAAAGGUUAACCAACUAAUCCAUUUUCAGAGGACUUCAGCAAAGUGAUUUGAUAAGGCUUGUAACUGAAUCUUUGGGUCUAACACUGUUCGAGUUGAUGUAAGAACGGCAUAGAAAAUUGUAGCAUGGAACAUUAUGUCCUUAUCAAUUUAUUGUUUCAAAUACACAAACACUGGAUUUUCCUGGACAUUUUGGAAUUUAGUUUUUCUUUCAUUACAGAAAGGACCUAAUAAUGGAGUGCCCUGCCCUUGCUACACUCACGUCAUUUUCUCUAGGAAUUUUCAUUCUGUUGUUAGGUUAUUAGGAUAAGGUCUUGAGGUUAUGAGUUACACUCACAAUUUAUUAGAAAAAUCAAAUAAAUAAUUUACUACAUGAACUUUACACUAGGCUUGGGAAGGGAACACAACAUACAGAGAUGGACGACAGGCAAAAGGUUUUCUAAUGAAUUUCUGAGUCAUGUAGAAAAUAAGCGAAUCUUUCUUGUAUUUAUUUUUACUGGGUUGUAUUUAAUGUUUUGGCCAUAGCAUCAGUAGUGUUUCAUGCUGACUUGAAUUGAUCAUCUAUCAACUAAGAUCUUUGACAAGGCUUUCUGAGUGAAAUUUAGUAUGCUUUGCUUGUUUUUAUUUGUUUUCUUUUUUUUUUCCAGAUAAAGGUAUGACUUGCUUGUUUUAGCGAAAUUUUCUUUUCAUCUUUGGCUAGAUAUUGGUUUUUUUGGGCUUUAUAUUACCAUGCCAGAUCUUUCUUUGCAUGAAUGCUUUGUUCUUUAUCUUUCUUAUUCUGUUUGUAAUUUGUUGGUGAGAACUUUUUAUUAGUAGUUUUGUCAUUGUAACUGUAGCAAGUUGCUUGGAAAUGUAUAAUGGGAAAUUUUUUUAGCCAUAGUUCCAUACAUUCUAUGACAUUUUACGUUUGACAUGGAAAAUCAUUCAACUGCAUAGGGGGCUCCUAGUAUAGCCCCUAUGAGACCAUUCCUAGGCUUGGCUAGGCAUUUUGGAAAAUACAAUAGUGAGGUAAUUAGUUCUCAUUGUCUAACCUUGAUUUCAGAUAUGUUAGCGAUGCAGUUCUUUCUUACUGAAGAUGUUGGAUCCAACCUUAGAUUUCACAUUACACUUCUAAACUGAUCUCUCUACUGAAUUCUUGAGCUUUGUACUUAAUCUUCCUUGUUGUAAUGACUUGCUUUUGAGCUGAGCUUGCUUUCAGUGCAAACUUAAUUUAUUUCUUCUGAGUUGCUAUUGAUUUGCAAGGAUGACAUUUCAUACUACUUAUUUAGGCAAAUAUGUUGCACAUUCUACAUGAUUACGAGCUAUUUAUAGGGUUUCAGCUUUAAAGCUGAUAUGCCAUUACUUAAAUGGGUAAAUAUCAACAGCUUAUGGACUGGUGUUUGGAUAUUCGGUAAUAAUCAUGGUUGUCUAUGAAUUUAUUCCUCACUCAAUAAUGCUUUGGUUUGAGACACUCCUUGCUGUCAUUAAUGCUGUUAUAUGCUGUUUUAUGGUGUUUUUCCAUGUUGAUGGUCACUCCUUGCUGGGAAGUCUACCCCUCUAUGACUGAUAUAUGCAGGAGGUUCCCAUGCAGAGUUUUCAUUUUCAUAUUUAUUGUUUCAUUUUUAUUUUUAGGUCAUCUCGAAGGGCACAAGUGAGCAAGGAAAUGGUGAGCAUGAGAUCCUGGUGCACCGUCAGUCCAGAAAGCAUAGGGAAGAUGCAUCUUCAGAUGAUGAGCAGCAAGAUUCAAAGAGAGGGCGGUCCAAAUUGGAGCGCUGGACAAGCCACAAGGAGAGGGAUUACAACCUCAAUAUCAAGCCAUCUUCGUCCAUAAAGGUUAAGGAGAUCGAGAGGAAUAAUAGUGGUGGAUCUCCAUUAACUGGCAAGUUUCCAGACGAAUCUGCCAAGACAGUUGAGGCUGUUGAUAGCCAACAGCAUGUUGAGGAAAAGGAUGCUGGUGACCUUGAGCUUAAGGAUGCUGAUAUGAAACCGAUGGAAGAUCGUCACCUGGACACAGUUGCAAAGUUAAAGAAACGAAGCGAGCGGUUCAAGCUUCCGAUGCCAAGUGAGAAGGAAGCUGUGGCAGUUAAAAAAGUGGGAAGUGAAGCACUGCCUCCAGCCCCAACUGAGACUCCUGCGGAUUCAGAGAUAAAGCAAGAGCGCCCAGCCAGGAAAAGGAGGUGGGUUGGUAACUAAAUGUGAAGUGAAGGGGCCAGUUUUAAUUGGUCAUUUGUCACUACUGCAGUUCUGGGGAACUCCUGCUCAGCCCGAUUCUUUGUUCUAGACUCUGAAGGUCUGGUCCCAUUGUGGUGCAUCAUGUUUAAGAUUGCCUUGUGUAGGGCCCCAGAGAUUGAUUGCCAUAUGACCUCCAUUAUAUAAUCUUGUAACCUUUCUGCUGCUGCUCUAUACUUGGUUCUUCUUUAUGUUAUGUAUAUACUAGUGAAUGUAACAUUGAAUUGGCCAUCUGUGUGGCACACAAUUGGUUGUCUGUCGGAGUAGCAAAGCAUCAAUCCAUAUUUUGUUACACAGAUUAUUGGGGGUGCUGAGAAGGUCCUACACAGCAUGGCCAGUUGUGCCAACAGGAUCUCUGCCCUAACCGAGGGUGAGGCAUUAAGUCUGAUGCUGGCUGCUUCUUCGGGCUGCGACUGCUUAGAGGUUCAAACAAAUGUUAGAGCCCAGGAACCCAAGGGCCAAACUCGAAAGGAGGAUGCCCUGAUGCCCUGAUGCCCUGCUCUGCCUUUGCAGGGGAUUUGAAUGAACAUUAUAAUUUCAUUUUUGUUAUAUGUAGUAUGUAUUUUUAUUAGUCUUUAUCCCAGUUUCCCUCCCUUGUAUGGAAGAGAAAGGGGAUCUGAAAGUCCCUAGUGUCAGAACUUGGGAAUUCCUCUAUCUGUUUUAAGGAAUAUAAUGGAAUGAGAUUUCAAAAGAAAAUUGUAUAAUUAUGGGUCUGAGACUCGAUUCAUAUGUUGCAAGUGAGUCCCUGGGAGUCCCAAUCUGGCGUUUAAACUUGAACUUUUAUAGUUUUCCAUAAUUCUAGAACACUGAAGAUUACCUAUUUUCAAGCGAUAUACGAGACAUGCAAAAAAGUUGCCUAGAAUCUUCCACACAGCUCCAAAAACUCUCUCCGAUCUUUAUCCUUAGAGAUCAGUAUAUCUCUUUAAUAACUUCCUAACUCUAUGCAAACUUACGUUAAGGACAAUUUGAGUAGGGUGUGUGACAGUUGACUUUCAUAAGGAAUGGUUGACUGAGACUGAUAUGGGAUCUUAGUACAUGUUUAGAAGAAUGUUAAGUAUUCAUAAUCAAUUCUUAAAUGUCUUGAUCCGGGUUAUGCUCUUUUCAAACAUUUUAUUUAGGUUUGAUUGGUAGUGAAAUGUUGUUGAUGAUUUAGAAUCAAAUCCAUGUUUAUUAGCACUUGGAUUGUUUCAGGAGAGUAAGAUGUUCAAGUAGAGUGGUUCAGUGAUUUGUGUCUAAACCAUGCCUCUAACUGUACUCAAUGUUAAGAUGGGUUUAUCAGGAUGUUUUGAAAAUUGUUUCUCUCUAUCUAGGUAUAAAAAUUAAAUCUUAAUUCCUUAUAUUUAAGUAAUAUGCUCCUAAACCCUUAAUAAAUUUUGGACCUUUGGUUUCUAAAUCAUCAUAGGUGUGGAAGAUAAUUUUUUACAUUGACCAUAAGCCUAGGGAAAGAUAGCAAUUAUGAUACGAUCACAAUGAAGAUAAUGUCUAAGGUAUAGUCGCAAUGACCGGGGUCUUAGAAUUUAUGCAAGUGGUAGUGUUGACUAUUAUGAUUGGUGCAAUGUGGACUACAUAUCAUUGACAGAGGUUGAUGAAAUCAAAGAAAGUUUAAGGUAGUGUACUUAAAUUCAUGAUAUUAACAAUGAUGUCGAAUCUAUGAAUAAGGUAGUUUAAAUAUAUUUUACAUAUCCCAAACCUUGGAUAAAGUUUAUUGAAAGUCAACAAUCUAUCACGGGUGGUGUAAAUGAAGUGGAUGAAUAAGAUGUUAGAGUAGAUAGACAUGUUUUGAAGAAGGUGAGAAGAUGAGGAAGACAAUGAAGACAAUGAAAAAUUGUAAAGAAAAGUUGACAAAAUUUGACUUAAUUGAGGAGGUGGAUGCAAUUGAGCUGCAGGGCAAAAUUAAGAUUCUAUUUUGGAAAUAGUUUUUUUAAAACAAUUUUUACAAGCUUUAUUCGAGAAGUAUUUUUGAAAAUAGUUUUUGAAAACAAAUUUUUUUUUUUUAAUUCAAUAGAACAAAAAUAUGUUUAAUAACCUAAAAUGUUCUUAUAUUAUUUUUUAUAUUUUUAAAUACGUUUUGAAAAUAAUUUUUCCAUGUAUUACUUUAUUUUUACUCAUUCUUCAUAUUUAUACAAUUAUUUAUUUUUACUCAUUCUUCAUAUUUAUAUAAUUAUUUUUUAAAACAACCAUAAGAAAAUAAAUGAAAAAAAUUAAAAUAUAUUAUUUAAAAACAUUUUUUAACAAUUUUUUAAUUAUAAUUUUCUAUUUUUUGUUUUAUAGAAUAAAAAUUUAUUGUAAAAAAUAAUUAUGCAGUAUAUUGUAUUUAACCUUAAAUUUAUGUCACUUAUAAUAUAUAUGACAUAUUAAUAAUAAUAUAUUAUUAUUGUUAAUUUAUAAUAAUAAAUUGAUAUACUAGAAAUGUUUAAACAUAAUAAUUGAAGAUCUAGACAGAUAAAAUCUAAAUUAAGAAUUCUAAAUAUUCUAAUAACUUAUCAAGGUUUUUUCUUUUUAUAUUUAUAAGUAAAAAUAAAAAUAAAAACUUCAAAAUUAUUUAAAAAGAAAACAUAAAGAAAAAUAAAUUAAAAAAAAAUUAAAAUCUAUAUAAAAAUAAUUUAUUGAUUUAAAUCUAUUUUUUAUUUACCAUUUUCUUUUCCUUUCACUUUCCUUCUUUCCCUCAAGCUAUUCGGAACCAAACAUAGCAUCAAGGAAGAAUGCAGCUCGCGACCUGAGUCUCCGCUACGCCAAUUCUCCAUUUUCGCCGGAACCUGCCGCAACCUCCAACCCACAUGGUAGCGUCUCCUCCUUGCGCAUUAUUAUUAUUAUUAUUUGGGUUUUCUCGUGCUUUCCUUUUCCCUUUCUGUCGUGCAUCUCUGUUUCGACCGGUUAUGAACUAUCCAGAAGCCGGAAACGAAGACAUAGAGACCAAAUCUAGGGCAUCCAAACCGGGUUUCCAUGGGAAUUGAACCUAAUUAUUGAUUGGGGAUAAGGAAUGUUUGUUUAGUUGAAAGUGUGGUUCUGAAUCAUGGAUAGCUGUUUUGGAGAAUGAGAAUAGGGCUGGUUUUUAGAAAUGCAUUGAAUAUCUUGCAAACUUGGAUGAAUUCUGCAUUCCGAUUGAUCUUAUGGUAGGUUUGGAAAGUAUUCGCUUCUCAGGCAAAAUAAACCGUAGUUUCUAUGGAAGUAUUUUCUAGGAGAGUUUCUCGGCCAGAACUGAGAUGGUUUAUGCAUUGAAACUCGGAAGUGGGUCUGAGAAGGAGUGUGAAAAUUGAGGGAUUUUGGUAUUGAUUGUCAUUUGUUGAUUUGGGCAUUUUGACAAAUGGGAGUUGUUCUUUUGUAAACUGUUGACUGCUUUUGCUUGAUGCAGGUAUGAUUGGGGAUUCCUUUUAACCCCAGCUUCUUCUUGACUGGAAUUUUCUUCUGCAUCCCAUUUCUCAUUGAUUAAAAUAUUGAUUUUGGAUCAUAUAUGCUUUAGUAACAAAUCGUUAUUUUGAUUUACUGUCGAAACUUUAUUUUCAACUUUUUGCAGGAAUGUGCUGGUGGUGAUUCCUACUUGAUCCUGCAGAUUGUUCAUCGAUUGGGAUGGAUUUGGUUGUUCAGUACUAUAGUAUGAUGCCCAGAUUCUAAACAAUUAAAAACUCCUUUAUAAAAAACCUCAAACUCUAACCAUAAUUUUGUACUCCCAAAACCCUGAUGUCUCUCCGAAAACCCCCACUUCCUAGGAUUGACGUUGGUCUGCCUUUAGCCUAGAUCAACUUUAACUUAAAUGGAGUCUGUAUCGGUCUGAUUAAAGAAUCAAAAUCAGGGGUUUUUCAUCAGUGCAAGCUUCAGCUCAACUGGCUUUCCCUCAACGAAGCGAUAAAGGAGAACCUCAGUCUUUGAGAAUGUGGUGUGGUUUUAACUACUAGAAGGAAAAGAAGGGAAGUCUGCCUGCAUUGGAGCUAAUUGGGCUGGGACGAUUGGUGAAAGAGAAGGCGCGAAGGCUGUCAAUGGGUCAGCGAAAAAGGGUUCAGCUUGCUAGGUUGCUGGCACUGAAUAGGCCAAAUUGGUUGCUGGAUGAGCCAUCAGUGGCAUUGGAUGAUGAAGGGGUGAAGAGUUGCGGGAGUAUAUAAUUGCAGAGCAUAGAAAGAAAGUGGGGAUUGUGAUCGUGGCAACUCAUUUGCCAAUCUAGAUUGAGGAUGCCAUGCAUUUGAGGCUGCCACCAAGGUUCCCAAGAAGGAUGACUCAUGUUGAUAUGCUAGAUCGAUCUGAUUGGAUUGCUUGAGACAUAAUCGGACCGGCUAGUUCUUGCAAAUUUUGCAAUGUGCCUACAUAUUUUUAAAAAAACUGUUCUUCAGAAUUAUUUUAAAAAAUACUUCCUCUCCUCUGUCUACCUGAUUGGAAACCCAUUCAUCGGAGAAUCCUCAAAUGGUCUCCGUUCCGUCUUUCACAAAAUUCUGACGAAAAUUUACACUCGACCCAAAUUAAUAUUAUGCCCAACCAAACUCAGCUAAUAGAUUGGGCUUAGACCUGAGACCAGCUAAGCUGUAGCCCAUGAGUUGUGAAGAAGGAUUGCAGGGGAGGCGCGUGCCAUUAAAAUUAGACCAAAGCCAAUGAAUGGCAUUCUUACCAACCUAACCUAUUAAGUAUUAACGCACAACACAGCGUUCACAUAAAUCUCCCUUUUUCUUAAAAAAAAAUUAAACUAGUAAAUAAAAGUAAUCAACAAAGCCGCUACGUCAACUCGCACUCAAAGAUGCCCUUCCAAACAAACGGCCACCUGCGCCGUUAAAGAACACCUCAACACUUUCAGCGGUCAGGUGAUUGCCUUCGUAACGGAGCUUUAACGGUUUCCGUUGCCUACCCCCCACAAAAAAACCACCUGAGUCAAUUCGAGUCAAAGCAACCGCACCACUGCUCUCUCUCUAAUCUGUUCCGAAACACACAAAAUCCGAAACCCAUGUCCUAACCGCGUUUCGGAUUCGGACACUAAAUAAAAUUAAAAUUAAAUUGGAAUAACAAAACCGGACCUAGCCGCUCGAAGCCUUUACCUUCUCUCCGAAUCGGCCAUGGCUGGGAACCAGAGCUUUGAAGCUCCCGAAGCAGAGAAGGCUGAGCCGAACCCCGAGUCUGAUUCGGGGUCGGAUUCCGACUCGGCCGAAUCGGGCUCUGAGGACGGAGAGGGACUCAGUGACUCGGAGGGAGUUGGAGCUGCUGAGUUGGGAGAGCCUCGUGAAUCGGAAACCCUAGCUGUGGCUUCGUCGAUUACGGAGAGUGGUUCGCAGUUACUCUCAGGUACGGUUGGUUCUCUGGCACGAGUUGGUGUGUUUGGUUGGGUUUCAUGUGGAGUUGGUGAUUUUUAUGGUUGAUCUGGUAGGUUCGGCGCUCAAUUCUACUUCGCAGUCGCUUGCCUCGGUUGAAUUCAAGGUAGUAGUUCCAUUUUCUCCUUCAUUUUUGAGUUGUUCAUGGAUGCUUUCAGCUUCUGAAAAUAAUCGUUGCGAGAUUUAGUUGGAAAAACGUAGAAAAGUUAGAUACAGUUUCAACAAAUAUAAAUAACUAAUAUUUUUAUAUUUAAUAUUCUGAUUCUUUUCCAAGCAUAUGCUCUCCGCAGCCAUGAAUAGGCUAGUUGAUGGUUGUCCGGUUUCUUGAUCUCUUUGCGUAAUUAUUAAGUAUUUGCUUCUUUAUUUUAUUUCAUCUGUUUUUAUAUGAGAUAUUAGUUCAAAUUGGGAAAUUGAUCGAAUCUUUGUGGUUUGAAUUGCUGUUGCUGCGGGACGGUUUGUUAGGGAGGUAAUGGAGAGACUCUAUUUUUUGUUUCUUUUGCUUACCAUUUGGCUGCUCUGAGAGGCAGAAGGAUAAAAAACUACAACUUUGGGAUCCUAGAUUUCCAUUAUUUAGGAACUGAGAAAAUGAAAUCUCUACUAUCUAAUCACCUUUGACAUAAUUUGGGAAACCAAAACAACAAAUCAUGUAUGGAUCAGUUGGCAAGCUGUGUUGCCUUGUUGCUAGAUUUAUUUGUAGGGGAUUGUUUGACGCUUGAAUUUUUUACUGGUUUCUCGUUUUUGUCCUUGGGUUGGGGUUUUUGGUUGUAAUUCUAUGCUCUUCUUUGGUUAUAUUCUGUAAUCCUUUUGAAGGAACAACUAAUCCUUCUUUGUAUUUUCUAGUUCAUAUAAGAACUGUUGCCUCUGAUUUUUUCUUAUUUUUCUUUAAAAAGAAUAACAGGACACAUAAUUUUCAAAGUUUUAUCUUCUACUUUCCUAAAUUGUCAGCAACCAAAUUGAGGGUUGUGUCAUUGGGCCAUUUGUGGUUUCUGUUAGCUGUUGGCUUUCAAGAAUCCAGAAUUUGGUGUAAUUCUGUUGUUGCAAAUUUGGAAUUUUGUUUGGAAAUUUGUAGUGUGAGACAUGUUUAGGGGUCUUCUAGCUCUUGAUUUGGGAAAAAUCAUGUAAAGACAAGUGGGUGCAAUUUUCUUGUUUCUGAAGAAAUAAAAAAUGCUAUACAUUGUUUCCAUAUUUUUUCUUGGGGAAAACCUAAGGAUAAAAAAUCUGGGCCUUUGAGUCCGUGAAUGAUCAUUCAGAAUCAUGAUCAUAGCAAUGUGAUUGAACCAUUGGGAUGUGGAAGGCUAGAGGAAUAUGCAUUAAGGAGAGAAUUGAAGCAGAUUAAUUGCUGGUGAUAGGAGUGGGACCAUUGUGUUAUGGAGGAGAGCCAUCUUGCAAUAUAUAACCAUUUAAUUAUGGAUGUGGAUGUAGAAUAAGGAUCUCUCUUUUCUCUUUUCUUUUCUUUUUUUAUGAGAAUAUAGGGAUGUUCUUGUAAGAAAGAGAUGAACACUGCAUCUCUUAGAAAGCUAAUGGUCAUCUGGGAUUAUUCAUUCUUGCCAUUUUUUACAUCAAGAAGGGUGUUGUAAAGUACAUACCCAUGUCCUACUCUAUGCAACUUGUAUCUAUGUUAAAUGUCAAUAAUUUUUUUGGAGCCCAUGCAGCUUUUUAACACAAUGUGGACUGAUUUUCUGGGUUAACUGUAUUCGGUGAUCCAGGUCCACCUAAUUAUCUUUUGUGAUCAAUAGUGUUGUGCUAGCAUUAGCUUCAAUUCAAACAUGUUAAUACAAGAAUACGAAGAAAAAAUCAUCUGCAUGUAAAGGUUUAUAAGCUUUUAAUGUAGUUCUGCCAACCAAACAUAUAUUUACGAAUUAGAAAGAUCAUUCCAUUAUACUAUAAAGAAUAUUAUAGUGGACAAAAACUAGAUAUAACUAUUAAGUUUUGAAACAUCUCAUGUUCCCCCACUCCUUAUUUCUAUACCCUGAACCACAAACCCCUUGUUCCAUUGGAUGCCUCACAUUCUUCCUCACAAAUCCAUCUUCAUCUCAUAAGUCUUUUCCCUCAUGAUCUAAAAUAUUUAUAAAGAUAUUUCUACUAACUUUCCUUAUUUUAUAAAAAAAACCUAAUGUUACAAUGACAUGAAUAUGGGAAAUAUUUUGUGCAAUAUUCUUUAUAAAAGGGAAUGUAUACCAAUUAGGAAUUCGAGAUAUUUUCCAACAACUAGUUCAUCAUGGUUUCUUGCUCCCAUAUUUUUCUAAUAAUUGGCAAAAUUUCAUGUUGUAUGUGCGAAAAGAAUGAUCUGUUAACCAUAUAUGGCAGUUUUCCUCAUAAAUCUGGCAAUCUAAAUCUCCAAUUUUGAGGCAUCAAAUUUGUAGCUGAAACCCUGACUUCCUUUUUUGGACACUAAUUGAGAUGCAUUUUGCAUUGCUAUGUUUAAUUGUCUAUUAUGCGAGAGCAUUUUUACCCAUUACAUUCAUGAGCUAACAUUUUAUUUUUCAUGCAUUGACAAAAUUCUGUUUUGAUUUUUGUAAUUUGAUAUCUUCUUUCUUUCCCUAGGAGCAAGCUGGGGUGUGUCAUCAAGAAGUUCGGACUACUGUAACAGCCCAGACCACUCAUGUCCAAACAAAGAAGCAACUUCAGUCAUCUGGUUGUCCAACUUCGUCAGUGGAAUUAUCACCAACUUCUGUUACCCAGUCUAUUCAAUCGGCUCCAAGUCCAACAAUACUAGAACAAAGGCCAUCACCAUUUCCAAAGGUUAACAGUGAAUGUAUGCCAGAAGGGAACCAGAAAAAUUCUUCUGACCUGAAAACUAUAUCUACUGUUCCUUCUGUGAAGACACCUUCUGCAGAUGGCUACAAUUGGCGGAAAUAUGGUCAGAAGCAGGUAAAGAGUCCUAAAGGUUCUCGAAGCUAUUACAAAUGCACAUAUUCUGACUGUUAUGCUAAAAAGAUUGAAUGUUGUGAUGACUCGGGCCAAGUGAUAGAAAUUAUUUAUAAAAGUCGGCACAAUCAUGAUCCGCCUCGGAAGAUUAACUGCAUGAAAGAAGGCAAGCUUUCACCAGUUGGGCCUGUUACAGGGAAUAGUACUACAGCUGACCCAGUAAGAAUGCUUAAUGAUUCAGAUCCAUCUACAUCUUCAAAAGAACCUGUACAAGAAACACCACUGAUACCUGAAAGAAAAAGGCCAAAUUCAGAUGCUUCUGAUGAGAAUCCUGAAAUUAAGGUUAAGGAGGAGCAUAUUGAUGAGCCGGAGCCUAAACGGAGGUAAGUUCCCUAUGAAAUAGUUUCCAAUCUUGUUCCUUACAAGAUUGCAUGCACAACAAUCUUUACACUAUCAAUUUUGCAUAAGGUAUUUUUUCCAAUUUCAUGUUGCCAUGUCAGCAUAAAAGAAGCACCAUCACCCCUUGUGACAAUUGAUUACUGCAAUCUAAAAGAACAAGUCAAAAGGAGGACAAAAAGUCAUAGUUAGAAAAUCUAAAUAAAAAUUAUUCUCAAAUGAUUCAUUUUGAUGCUAUGAUUUUUCCCUUAAAUAUGGACUGCCUACCGUGCUUUUCAAUGCACACGCCAAGACAUCAUUGUUGGAGAUAAAGAACUGGUUCCAAAUCCCUAUUGACCAGCAAAUUUUAUGCAAUUCUUCAAUGAAACAUUCAUAUCUUGUCAGUCAUGCACAAAUUUUGAGAGACAGAGUUGGUUAACUAAAUUAGGAGAGAAUUUGGAACUUUGAGACAAUUUCUAUUGAAUUUGGCUCAGCAAGUUUGUAGCAGCCCUAGUGGAUUCAGAGUAUGCUCCCCAACAGACUCAUUUGACACAUAUAUAAGGUUUGUGCAUAUAAUGUGGAUUAAAGGCAAUCCCAUACAAGUCAAUCUCUUGAUAGCCUUUUCCUACUCAAACUUCCCUUCAUUUCUCUCUCUAAUUUAGUUUAUUAGCUACAAAAAUGAUCCUAGCUUGGUAGAAAUGCCUUUCAAAGGGUGGGUUGAGUUUGAUUCUUACUGUCAACCAAAAAAAAAAAGAAUUAAAAAAACAAAAAGAAAGGAAGGCUGUCAUCUCUUUUCUGCAUUCUUGCAAUUCCACCUCUGUUCUAUCUACUUUGCCUCAUUUGCAUGGAGUAGGUCAAGUUUAGCUUGCAAGAGCAAGUUCACAAAAAGAUGUAAUUGACUGUUGGAUAGUUAUAGAAAUCUGGGAAAGAGCUAUAUGUUUUAAUAAGAUUCCUUUCAAUAAUAGUUAGAUUUUUUUUUUUUUGAUAGGCAAUAAUAGUUAGAUAUAUACAUGAGUGUAACUGCCAACCAUGUUGAUGUUUCAUAUAUCUAGUUAAACUUGAUGGGAUUGAUGACAUAUUGGAUCCCAAUCCUUUUGCAAUACUGAUGACAUGGUAUCACGUGUUUUAUAAAGAAAGGGCUACUAUAUAGGAUUCAGUUGAAAGAUGUUUCAGGAUUUGCCUAGAUAUGAUUGGCUGUAGCAUGUGGUGGGAAUCAUAUAUAGAAACUGUUCUGUGAGAAGUUGUUCAUUUCAUGUCAGCCCCAACCAAGUAUUUAAGUUCAUUAAUUUUGUAUGUUCAUAGUAGCAUCAAAAGACAAUCUGGCUUCAUAACCCCCCCAGGGGUUGCUCCUAACAGAUUUAAUGCACCAAGAUGCUAGGAUUUUUCAAGAAAGUUACAAACAACAAAUUAGAUCCAAUGGUAAUACAAGUAUGAAAGUGGAAGCAAAGUUGCCCCAUAUGAGUUAUAUGAAUUUUGUUUGUCACCUCUAUUCCAUUCUUGUACUUGGGGGAUUGAUUUGGGGAGCACUGGUACUGAUACGGCUUUCUGUCCCUUUUUUUUCAAUUUAUGAGAAGCAGAUCGAAGAAAAGCAGCUUAGGGAAUUCAGGUUCUCACUUUAAACCUGGAAAAAAACCUAAAUUUGUUGUGCAUGCGGCGGGUGAUGUGGGGAUCUCAGGUGAUGGCUACAGAUGGCGCAAAUAUGGACAAAAGAUGGUGAAGGGAAACCCUCACCCCAGGUGCGUGCUCUCCUUUAUUAGAUUUUGUAGAACAAACCUAUUUCAUCAUUGUGUGUGAGUCUGACAUUGCUACUCCGAGUCUUAGGCUGCUGCAAUAUUGGACACAAUUUCACUCAGUUUAUAGUUUUAACUUUUAAGUUCUUAAAAAUAAAAUAAUAUUAGCUCCACAUACAGCUCAACUGAUAGGUAUUCCCACAAGGAAGGUCCUGGUUUCAAGUCCUGGGCUUGCCCACUACAUAGUUCUUCAGUAAUGGAAAUUAAUGUCAUUUUCCCGAGUCCUGUGAAACAAGGCCAUCAGUUUUCUGUAUUAAUAAAAAUAAAAAUAAAAAUGCAGCCAUAAUAGUUUAGUUUCUAAAUUUUAUGCUUAGACCAAAGAAUAAAAAGCUUCCUUCUUUGUAAUUUGUUGUCUUCGACCAAGUUGUAUAUAGUUGAAGACCCAAUGUCCUUAUUUGACUUCAUCAAUUGGAUGGGUUCUUAUUGAGGGAGGGAGUAGCUUUUUGUUGUCCCUUUUCCUUUUUUCUAACACCUUUUGGUGACUGUUAUAUGCACGUCUUGUGUACUUUGAUGCACUUUUUUUUGUCACUUUUUAUUUAAUAUUAUCUUUAUUUACCUAUCAAAAAACAAUCAUGCUUAUAUAGGCUAUAUCUGCUUUGAUGCAGUACAGCACUUAAACAUUGAGUAAUUUCGUCUACAAUAUCUCUAUUGGUAUGGGUCAAAGUGUGGAGGGCUACAGUUUAUCUUUCUUUAAGAUUGAGAAAGAAUACUAGGGGGUUUAAUGCAAUGUUUUAAAGAUGCAAGGUUUUAAAGUAAUCGGUUGAUGAAUUGCAGAAAAUAGGUUGCUAGGGCUUCCUUAUGCAGCUGAUUUAUGGUUUAAGGUUUCCUGGAAAAUAGGCUGAAGGGAGAAAGAAUAUAAGUGUUGUGAAAUUAGGGUAUAGAUUAGACAUAUAAACGAAUGAUGGCAGGCUUUAUUGGCUUAUUAGCUGUAUGGCGAUUUAGAGAACAGUAGAAGGAGAAAUUGAAGGAAGAAAGUAAGACUAGGUGAUCACAAACUUAGCAAGUACCUUAUUACAUAGCCAACUACCCAUGGAUAUGACUGGAUUCAGCAAACCUAUUGCCUUCAUUCAGAAAGCCACUUUUAACAACACUGGUCCAUCUUUCCCAAACAAAUCUAAACAGUUCUUUGAGGCUGAUGGUUGAAAAAGUGUGAUCAGGUUCACAUGAGCUCUAGAGAAUUAUCAGGUCCUCAUGAACUCUAGAGAAUGAUCUAGUCAUGGAUCCCUCAUGAGCUCUAGAGAACUAUCAGGUUCCCAUGAACUCUUGAGAAUGAUCUAGUCAUGGAUCCCUCACAAGCUCUAGAGAACUAUCAGGUCUCCCCAUGAAAUCUAGAGAACGAUCUAGUUAUGGAUCCCUCUUCUUAAUAUGUGAUCUCAGGAGUCUUAAUGAAUCAAACUAAGGAAAUAACUAUGAAACUAAUAUUUGUCGAACCAUUUAAUUUUGAAGUCCAACUCUUUUACCGAAUUUGACAGCUUCAUAUCCUUAAAUUUAUCCUGUGAGCUUGCUUUUUGUUCUGAUCUGUCUUUGGGACAAAUUUCCAGGAACUAUUACAGAUGCACUUCUGCUGGAUGUCCUGUUCGUAAGCAUAUUGAGACAGCCAUAGAUAACACCAGUGCUGUCAUAAUAACAUACAAGGGGAUACACGACCAUGACAUGCCUGUACCAAAAAAGCGACAUGGCCCACCAAGUGCUCCCCUUGUUGCGGCUGCUGCUCCUGCUUCCAUGAACAGCUUGCAGUUUAAGAAAACUGAAGCUUUCCAAAAUCAAAUAUCUUCAACUCAAUGGUCAGUGGACAUGGAAGGUGAAUUGGCAGCUGAGGAAUUGGAUCCAGGAGGGGAGAAAGCCAUGGAAUCUGCUCGAACUCUCCUGAGCAUUGGAUUUGAAAUCAAGCCGUGCUGAAAACUUAAUAUCUGGCCUAAGAAGAAAAAUUAAAAAAAAAAAAAGAAAAAAAAAAGAGAGAGGAAAGAACGAAAAGAUUAGAUCACCAAUGGGCCUUUCUGUGAAAAUCAUGCAGCUGUUUCAUAUAUAUUAUUGAGUCUACAGGUUUGGUGAUUUCUUUUUUCUGUUUGUUUUUUCAUUUAUUUUCCUUCUUUCCACUUUAGUCUUUCAGUGAACACUUGUAUAUAGUUUGUAUGAUACUUGUUUCGAGCAGGAUACUAGUUGCAACUUGCGGGACAUUAUAUAGAAUUGGCUGGCACCCAUUUCAGUAUCUUCAUUUUAAGGUGAAACAGACCCAAACAAAAGAGACACAGCUACUCAAGAUUCUUACUUGAGUUAUUGUAAGAUGACUUCAAUGGGAACAUUUUAAGACAGUAGCAGCAUCCAUGAUUUAGGGGGGAAUCUGUCUGGUUUAGAGUUUGCCAUGGUCGAUUUCAGAAGAUUAAGUUGGAUAGCAGAUCACUUUAGAGGUCAUGUCCGAUGGUUGGUUCUGAAUGUGGUGAGGGUCUGUGGACCUCAGAAAGACUUGUCAUUUACUGUUUAAACAGGUAAGUGAAAAUAAAAAUGUGAAAUGGUAACGUAUGGGUAUGGCUGUGGGCAAGUCGGAGGAAACAGACUCAAAAGAGCUGGAAGAACGAAUUUUAUUGGGCAUGAGCUGAGAGAAGUAAUUUUACUAGGCAACAAGCUCCAAAAAGGUAUUAUUGACAUCUGAAUUCUAGGUCAUAGUAACUGCUAUAAAGAUGCUGCAUUUUGAUUAUGUAUUGUACUAUUGGAUUGACUAUAGGCUACAGCACACUUGAUUAUGCAAUUCAUGUAUGGAUAUUUGGUUGGCGUGUUGAGAUGGCAUUCAUUUCAUGGCAAUUUUCCCCAAGGCCUGUUUAAUAUAGGUUAAUAUUAAUCCAUGAUGUUUGUUGGCGCUGGCUAGGCUUUAUUUGAGUGUCUGGUACAAAGUCUACACGCAUGGAUAGAAGUGGCUUUGAAUAUUUCACCUAUUGUUUUGUGGUUGUAGUUUGCUGGGACAAAGCAUGUCAAUUUUGGUGCUUGAGCUGGCUGUGGCUGCUACUUUAUGAGAUUAUUUGAAGAUGAUAUAGAGCCACAAAGUUUGGGAUAACUAGAAAGCAAGUCUGUUAGGCAGGCGCCCGGCCUCUAAACAAUCAUUAGGUGCGUGACUCUGCAGCAGCCUCCCUCCAUACCGGCAGAAAAUUGAGAGAUUGAAAUGGCAAAGGUGGUUGGGGUCAGCACCUUCCCAACUUUUCAGGGUGUCUUCCAUCUUUUACGGAGACAAGGCUUGGAUCAUGGGAUGAUUCUUCUGGUAAAAAAAAGAUUCAGGACUAGGGGGCAUAAAACAAAAAAGGGACAAACACAUGGAGCGGUCGUUAUCUUAAUUCCUCCUUUGAAACAGGGAUGCCCCACAUUUAAUUGGUGAUUUGAACCUAACAGGGCAAACAUGUUAUAAAUACGGCAGCCAUACCCUGUCCCAAGGGAACAUAGAAACACAAAUCCAACCCCAUUUAAAGGCAGAAACAAACCCCAUGGCUGCUCUCCUUUAUCAAGCUAUGCGCUGUCCACCACCUUCCUGAGGCUCCCAACCUGUAAUGUCCUUUUAUCCAAGGGGACACUCAUUUUCCUUCCAUCUCUUUCUCAUGCCUAGCCUUUUGUUUUUCAAGCAAAAAUCUAAUUAACACUUUCCACUGUACAAAUAAUUGUACACUGAUUUUUUUGUUUUUUAUUUUUUGUUUUUUUUUUAUAAAUUCCCCAUGACAGCUUCUUUCCCUUCCACAACACGAUCACCAGUUAAUCCAAUUCGGCUUUUAGUAAUCUACAAUCUACCAAUCCAUGUUGCGCAGCAAAUUCACGAAAUUUUAUACACAACCUUCGUAGCCACCCAGUUGUAAAGAGCAGCUAAAAACCAGUCAACAUGGUAAAAUUGAUGAUUGACCUUGAAGCGCCACCUGCAUGCCUGCCUGCCUGCGUGCCCGCCCCCACCCACCUGCCAGCCCGCCCACCUACCCACCCACAGGGCAUUUGGCACAUCAUUCUGAUGAAAAACUCAGUUCAUCGAUAGCUCUGGACAAUUCUGAUUCAAUCACAUUGCUUUUCUUCUCUUCAGCUGCUCCAGUAGUGAUUUCCUCUUCCUUGACUUCCGCAGCGGUCACACAGUCCUGGAAUCUGAAGCAACUGAUAAGAUGAUCGUUAGUUAUUCCUGCCACCUGCAUGAAUGAGUAGAUGACUGUAGGCCCCACACUCCGGAAACCUCUUCUCACAAGGUCCUUGCUUAUGACAUCUGCUUUUGGAGUCUUCACUGGAACAUGGCGAGGAUACCGGAACCUGCUAACUAUUGGCUUGUGAUUCACAAAGCUCCAUAUAUACUCAUCAAACGACCCAAACUCAUCUAUGACCUGCCAUCAGCAAAACCUGCAAACUAUUACAAUCAUAGCAACAACCCUGGUUGUGGAAUUAUAUCACUUUUACUUGCGUCCACAAAGGUUAGUAGUUAGGGGGUUGAUGAUAGCUGAAAAUAUUCCAACUUGAUAAACAGCUCCAAAUUUACCAACUAAGCAAGCUGGAAUGCUCAGGAAGAAGGAAUAAUUAGGUUGCACAACUUACUCUUGAAAUAAGAGGAAAUAUUAAGGUCAAACUGGAUUGGAUAAUAAGCUUAUGGUUUGUCUUUAUGUAAGUCAUGCAGAUUGGAGAGGAAUGAGGACCACCAUUCAACCACUUUCCACCUAACCUGACCAAUCAGGUGAUUGCUAAACAUGCAUUAUAUGUCAUUUAAUUGUUUGAACAGAUAAAGAAAGCAUAGAAAGUGGUCCCAGGGGAAAAAGCAUCUUGAGCAAAUCUAGGUACUCUGGAUGUGAUCAUUACUAAAAAUCAUCACACUGGUAAAAACAGACUACUUGAAGAUUAAUACCAUUAUCUGUCUGAUGCAAACUAUUAUUUAAAAGGGAGAUACUCAACCAAAGUUAACAAAUGCCCAUGUUCUGCUACUCAAGGUUUAAAUUUGAAACAAAUAAAAAUCAAAUCAAAUUGAAGAGAAUCUACCUUGGACAUUUGUCGUGCAUUCUCAAUGAUGCCACGCAACUUAAGCUCUGAUAUUAGAGAGCUAGCAAUGCUUCCUGGUGCCAUUAACUUCUUCUCGUUCAAUUUUGCAACAGCGAUUGGAUCAAAAUCCGCAAAGACUUCCCUGCAAUUAAAAAAAUUGUUAAAAGAGAAUGUGGUAGAUGCACAAGAAAGGGGAAGGGAAUAUGACCAUGUGGAACCAUAGAUAAUAUAUGGCAGAUAUAGUUCAUCAAAUUAGAACAUUGCUUUUCAUGGAACAGUACCUAAAAAUGUGCCUCUUGCUGAGAAUGGUAGGCCAUGUGAGUUCAGCCAAGGCACCAGAAAGGACAAGAAGCUCAAACAAUUUCCUGCAUUUAGUAUAAAGGAUAUUAAGCAAAACUAAAAGAACAUGAAAUAGAGUCCUGAGCCAUGUUAGUGCUUUGGAAUUGAUAGGCAAUGCAAGGACUGAUGGAGAUCACGUACUUGUCAUCAUGAACUGGAACUCCCCAUUCUUCAUCAUGGAAAGCAAUGUAAGACAGGUCUGCUUUAAAAAUAUAAGAAAAUCAGUGAGCAAAUAAAUCUUGAAAACAAUGUAGCCAACACAUGUAGUUGACACCAAGUGAUUUAGUCUCCCUAAGUGACAAAAAUGAACCUAUGUUCUUUACUUUUACCUUCACAAAUGAUAAAGCUUCAAAUUUUCAUAUAAAUGGUACUACUAUGUAUAAGAAUAAAGAGGAUAUAGCACCGCAGACCCUUUUUGUUUAUCCUAAGUUUUAAAUUGUCCAAUUCUUGCCGUGUAUCCCUGAUCUUGCACCCAAUGAGGGAAAAACACGAAAUGAAGUGAGCAUGCAUAAUUUCAUUCUAACUUUAAUAUUCAUCACCAUGAAAUUGAAUGGAAGAGCUAAGAGUUAUGACAAACUAAAGCAUGCUAAGAAAUAUUUUCUUCUAACUGGUUGCUACAAAGGUACAUCUACUACCAAGCUAGCUAACUUUGAAUACAAUAGAUAUGAUUCAUAGAGAAGAUAGAAAAUAGUAAUAAUAACCAUGACAUAUUCAUGAGGUUGACCCAAUACAGAGACCAAUAUGAAAGUUUCCAGAUUGAUCUAAAAUCAAUUAAAAGAGAGGAUUGGAACAAUUUACCUAUAAAAAGUGGCUGAGUUCAAUUCACAGGAUGAGCUGGUAAAGAAAAAUAAAAUGAAUAAGGCUAAGGAGCUAUCCACUAAGGGUAACUGCUCUACUCCCAAAGCAACAAGACAAAAAUACUUACUCUCUCCCAAUAUAAUUCAGUCAAACAACUGGCCUGUGUAUUCUAUUGAUUCAGUGAUUCCAAUUAGUUAAUUUGAGUAAAAUCUCACAUUUAACAUACAUUAAAAUUAGUUUCAGAACUUUAACACAGCUAGCUAUGUAGCAAAACAGAGCCAAUGCCCCCACUACAGGAACUACAUGAGGCAACCUCAAGGAGAUAGAACAGAUGUGAUGCAAGUACAUGUAGAUAACUCAAUUCAACGAAGACAUGAGCCCCAUUAUUUGGGGUCUGCCAUGUAAACCCUUUUUUAACAUCAAAUGUCAUGUCCACUAAAGCAUUAGCCUCCUAGCAUUUUGUACCAUACGGUACACAUAUAGAUCUAAAUCAUCAAAGAAAUAAAAUAAUUUUCUACAGGUUAGAAGUGUUUAUGACCAAACAAAAAGGAAACAAAGUUAAAAACCUGUAUCAACUGAUUAGUGUGGAUAAUAAAUUAAAGUAAAAAUUAAGAAGACACUCAAUUACUAGCUUUAAGCAUCCCAAACCAAAGAUCAACCCAAACCAAACUGGUCUCAAGCAAAGCAGUCCACUAUGCUUUAUUGCAGUUUUGGAGGAAAAAAAAUAGAUGGAAAGAGAUGCAAACUUAGUUUUUCAAGCUCCAAUUUAACUUCUAAAUGGCCAAUGGAGUGCAUUCCACGUUUAGGAACCUUGGCACUUGAAAAGCCUACACUACUAAAAGAAAUGCCUAAAUGCAGCUUACUGCUGAAUAUGCAAUAAAAUCCUUUUCCUCAUGUCAAAGGUUUGUAAGUACAUUUUCAUGGUAUAUAUGAUUGAUAAAAGCAAACCAAAGCUCUGUCACAAGCAUUUGGAGAUCAAGUAGAGAUAUGUGCAAAUUUAAGCUUACAAUUAUUAAUGAACAUCUCAUCCAGAAAAUAGCAUUCAUGAACAUCCCAUCCUUAAAAUUUCUAAAAGGAUGAAAACAAAAUAUUCCAAAAUCAAGUAACAAGACAUACCAGUAUUUGGUGUCACCCAUGCACACCUCCUUUUGGCUUUCAGACCAUCAGGUGGGGAUUCAGACACACCAUCAGAAACAAUGACUUUUGGCUUGGAGGCGUAUGACCUCCUCCGUGCUGUACUACUUGAUCGAGUGAUCCUACCAGUAGAUGCUCGACUAUGAAACGAAUCUGUAGAGGCGUCAGAUGAACAUGAGGCAUUGAGUGAUAAAUUAGAAUGCAACAACUGCUCCUGCCGACGAAGCACCAAUGGAACACUAACAGAAUGUGAUGGUGGAGAUGAUGCAGCCCCAUUAGAUGAUGGAAGGGCUUUUAUCUCUUCAUCAUCUUUGGUUGCUUUCUCUGCCUUCCUUAGAGGCUUUGUUGCAGGUUUCCGACCACUCAACGACCUCAUCGUCUUGUUUCCAGCAGGUCCAAGGACUGGCCUCACCUCUGAAUCAGCUACAUUCAUUGACCUCACUCUGGGACCUCCUGACAUAGAUCUCAGCUUUCCACCUUCAAAGUCCCCUAAAAUUUGCACUUUUUAGCAACCACAGGUUGUUUUAGAAAUUCAAAAUCACCGAAUUAAACCCUCAAAUGGUGACAGAAACUGCCAUUUUCAUGAUAUUCCACAACUGCCCUUACAUCCGAAUCAGCUAAAUUCAUGGACGGUACUCUCCAAGCUUUCAACAUCAAUGUCUUUGAAUUCUUCACAGAUCUCAGCGCUUUGGCCUCAAAACCCCCCAAAUUUGCCACUUCUACUGGUCCUGGGGUCAAAUCAAAUGCUUAGAAUACCCAAAUAAGACCUAAAUUUACGGGGAACUAAAAAACACCACCAUAUCCAAACGACAUUUCAAGUCCAAAUCCCAAAAUUCAAAUUUUUGCUAAACCUAGGUUUGUUCGUACAAAUACUCAAAAACCACCAUCACAGAUAUACAACAGCGACACCGCCAUUUUCAGAUUAUUUGAGUUCAAACAAGUUGAAACGACCCAGAAAACAAGAAGCACACUCAAAUCUACAAAAUGUCUUCAGCUUUUGACCAAAGCUAGGGUUUACACUUUAAAACACAGCUGGCGAGAGGCUUGAUAAUUUAUUAAAAUGAGGUUGAAAGAAACCUCGAAACGCAGAGAUUCCACAAGGCAUUGUGGAAACCGAAGCUCUGUACCUCAAAAAGCGGAGUCGGAACAGCGCAGUUUCAGUGCUUUGAAGAGAUAAAGCUGCCUCAUUCAUAGCAAUUCUCAAACUAUUCCGAGAAAGUGGAAGAGAAAAUGGGAGAGAAAAUGCGGGAAAGUAGGGUCGAUCUGAGUCACGUACCUGCCAGAAUUGAUCGAUCAGGGAAGAGUUCGAUCUGAGGGAACCCUCUCUCUAGAAUUCAUAUAGAGAAAGAGAGUUGAGUGAGUGGUAGAUAAUUUAAUAAACUAAGAGUUUUUUUUUUUAGUGAAAAGGUCCAUCUCUAGAUUGGCCUUAUUUACUGGUGAUGCUCACCGGUUUUACCGCCUAUCUCCGGUUCCUCUCCGGUCCCCUUCUCGUUUGUCCUUUUUUUUUUCUUUUCUUUUUUCAAAAUUUUUUCUAUUAGUGCUUUUCAGGCCUGAUCUACUACACUGUCCACCAAGUUCACCAGCAGAAAAUAUUAACUCUACCGUGAUGUUUGUUUGUUUUUUUAUUAAAUAAAAAAAAAUCAAAAUAUUUAACUGUUUCUAUUUAGUUAAAAAUAUUUAAAUUUUUUAUGUAAUCGAAAAUAAUCUGAAAUAAAUCAACAUGACUGAAACGACUUUUAACUUACUAAAAAAAAUCAAAUAUUUUAAUUUUUUCUAUUUAAUAAAAAAACAAACGCAGCCUAAAUCAUAACAUUAUUUUGAAUAAUAAAAAAUUAUACAUAUGCUUUAAAAUUACAUCUAGAAAGGGUCUUUAAUAGAAAUUGUUAAGAGGAAGGGACUUGAUAAGUUUUUGGGAUGAUGAUGGCAAUAACUUGAUGAAAAUUGUAAUCUAACAAUGGCAAUAAGUUCACCUAACAAGUAAUGCAGUGGAGUUUAUCUGGAAGUAUAAGAAAAUUCACUGAAAUAAUGAAUCUGGCUUAUAAGCCUAAUGAUGUUAACUGUUUGAAUCCAUCUCAUUCAUAGGAGCUAAUUUUUGCCUAAACUUCUGAAGUCAGACUGAGGUUGAAAAUUGAAAUGGUAAUUUUUUCAAUUAUAUUCCAAUUUUAUUUUACUGGUCAUGUGGGUCUUUACUUGGGCAGCAAGAGAGAAAGGGUGGGCAUGGGAAUUGGAAACCAGACAUACUUUUGCCUGAAUUUUCAAGGGAGAAUAUAAUUCCAUUCUAUUGUACACCCUCUUUUUAUUUCAUGUCACUCUUCAGAGGGAAAAAAAAGAGGUCAAAAUCAAUGUCACAUUUCUUAUGGCAAACACGUUUUUGGAUAAAACUGAUGCAGAAGACAAAGCUACUUUUGCGUCCUAGUUUUGUGACAUCUGUCCAACCACUAUAUUUUUCACCAUUCUCUUUUUCCUACUAGAAAGAACAGAAGUGUAGUCUAGACAAGAAAUGCAUCUAGUAGGGGCACCUUCGCCCUCCCCCCCCCUUUCCUCACACUAUAUGCUACAUCCAUCCAAGCAAGAAAUGCAUAAUGAUAGGGUUCCAAGUCAACCCCUAUUACACCUACUCCUCCCCUCCCUAGUGCGUUUGGUACGUGGGAAAUGAAAAAUGACAAUAACAUGUAAUGGGGGUGAGUCAUAAUACGAUAUAGAAGGGAGGAAUUAAAAUUCAUACUAAUGAAAUUUUUAUUAAUGGGAAUGGAAUCGAUUUCCAAUUCCCAUUCUCUACUCGGUUGUUCUAUAUGAAAUCCUAAAACAAUGCUUAUAAUGUUACUUGUUAAUGAAACCAUAUGGGAUGUUGGGCUUUGCACCUUAAGAGCAGAAACUACAAAAGGUUGAACCUCUUCAAGUCUAUUAGAGGUUAGGACACAAUAAGAUCAAUUAAUCAUCCGUUUAAGUAAUAUGCCUGUAAAGAGGGAGGAGUAUUUGGUGUAAUCAUUUCAUACAAGAAACCAUGAAAAUUAACAGGCACCUCAAUACCAACACAAAAUAUCUGAGCACCGUUUUGCAGCUGGCAUUAGAGCAGGAGAGGGCACUAACAUCUUGCGUAUCCUUCCCAAUUUGACAUGAAAUACAACCAAUUAUAACAUUUGGAAAUGACAUCUGCAAGUAUCCCACAUAAAACUGAAUAAGAAUAAGAAUAAGAACAAUAAUAACAACGAUAAUAACAAGGAAUUCAUCAUAGGCAGGUUAUCUUAAGUCCUAUUCAAACAGGGAAGCUUUUAGAAAAGCUACAGCAGUGUUAAGGUGCACCUGGCUUUAAAUACAGUUGUAUCAUUCUUUUUCUUUCAUCAUUCUGUUUUGUUGAGGAAAUGAAAAGAAAAUUUAGUUCUCACCAACAAAAUUGAGCAUUAAGUUUUAGCUAAGUAGGCUCUUAUAAUAAUUUCCUCGAUAGCAACGAGUCUCCUUCAAAAUGGAUGUUGUUGUGGAGCUGCUAUUUUUAUGCAGGCCACAGCAGAUGUUUUAGAUUUCAGAACUUUCUUUUAUAUGAAACUUUCAUAUUGAGUACUCUGAUCCAGGUCAGCAUUAUUUCCAAAAUUAAUAUCCAUAAUAGGAUCUUGAAAACUAAUGAGGGCCAUGGGAAAGUCCUCCAUAGACUAACUGCUAAUGAUUUUAAUCAACAAAAGAAGCAAAUAAGAGUGCUGCUCACAAUAACACCAAGUAAGAGCUAGAAUGACUUCAAUUGACCACUGGAGUUGGCUAUAUCCAUUCCUUGGAGAUGAUGAGUGAAGUCUACUCUGUAAAUUGCUUAUGGAUCACCAUCCAAGAGAUUCCUUUAUUAAAAUAUAAGGAGUAAAGAAGAAACAAUUACCACCUUCUUUCUGACAGAAAUUGGGAAGGGGCACUGCAGAGGUUGACAAGAGUAACCAUCUUACAUGUGCCAGGCUGCCAGUGUCCAGUUACAAUUAUUUUUGCUUGUAGUAUGUUUGAAAUGAAAUUCAAGCUUAUAAUAGCCUCCUGAGCAGAUUAAAAAAUCGGCUUGGUAAUGAUGAGAUGUCCAUGCAACAUUGGUUAGAAUGGCCCACCCAAGGUUGCAAACUAUUUCCAAGUAACUUCACUGCCAACCACUACAUAUCUCAUUUAUUAUUUUCCUUUGAAGAAAUAUCAUCUAAAUAGUGCAAUAUUCUUAUCCAAAACCCUUCCCCCUUUUCUUUUCCCUUUUUAGGAAUCGUGCAAUAAAAAGCCAAAGGAAUAGCCAUUUCAUGGGGAAAUAUGCCACAAAUAGCCAACUAGAAAUCACUUUUACAGGCAUUAAAAAAUUCUAUUCUUUUAGGCUCUUCUAGUAGAUAACAAAUUUUUCACAAAUUUAACAGAAAAAAACAAUCACAAUUAAAUGCAAUGGUAACAAAAAUAAUUAAUAGUAAAUCAAAAGGAGUAAGGAGCAUUAAGAAAAAAGGAAAGAAAGAAUGCAAAACAUACCCCAGUAGACCCCGGCCUUGCCAUGUUCUAGGUGUCAUUGUUAAGUUGAUCAGUGCACCUUGCCUCAUAACUAUAACAGGUAUUGCAUGACCAUGGUUUGUCUGGGCUUCAGAAGCAAGCCUUGGGAGCAAAUUAUCACCAGCUUCCACAUUCCCGAAUUUCACAAUCCGAUCUCCAAGUUGUAACCCAUCCUCUGCUGCUGGUGAUGCCUCGGCUAUUUCAUCAACCACUGCAAAGGGUAAGCUGACAGUGGCAUCAACGUCCAUGGCAGUCAGGGUAUCUCUGGGAAGAACAUUGUGAGAAGCUGCAGAUGGAACAGCAGUAGCAGUGGAUGAACCUUGGUUAUUUGACCCCUCAUCAUUAUCUUGUACAUAAACAAAAACUGGGAUCAAUUCAAAUAAAAUAUAAAAAGUACAAGCAGGAUACUAAUUGGAAACAACUAAGCAUAAUUCUUCAUAAAAUAAGAACUUCAAAAAACUGAGAUGUGAAAAAUUAAUCACCAUAAACAGAAGCCAAAGCAACAAAUUGGGUAAAGAAAAAGCACCCUAUAUGCCUAAAUUAUAGAAAACCUAUUCCACAACAUGGACACAUAGGGGCAUGCAGACAAAAGAGCUUUGCUACAAUUUUUUACUGUUAACCAUCAAAAAGAAAGUCGGAGGAAUGCACAAUUUAAUACAAACAUCAAGAUGCAUUGACACUCAUGGGGGAGCACAUGCCACCCAUGGAAUAAUCCUAAAUAUCCAAACCUUAAUUAAGCUCAAAGCUAAGAUUUGUUUGGUAAAAAGCAGAACUCAUUCCACUGAGAUACAAUAGAAAAGCCUUCUAUUUGAACUUUAUAUAUCUUUAUCUAUUUGUCAGCUACUUGGAGACAAACUUGCUGAAACAAAACCCUGUUAGAUCUGGGCCAUCCUUACCCAAUUACAAGCCUCUAACUACUACAUGUAUUUGAAUGUAAAAAAAUAAAAUUAAAAAUAAAAUAAAAAAUAAAAAAUUAAGUCUAAAAAGAGGAAGUAAGAAGAAACAGAAUGUAGCACAUCAACUUCUAAAGGGUCACACUCACCCAGCCUUCUGAUGGCUUUUAUAAAUGUUCUUUGGAUUUCUUUUACAAAAGAAACUUGUAAAGUUUCUUACUGAAGUUUGUCAUCGCCAAUGAAUUAGAAUCUUUUAAUAUAAUAAUAAUAAUAAUAAUAAUAAUUUCUUACUAAAAUUUCAUACCGAAAUUACUGAAUUUUUCUGUGUGUCCAAUUUGGAAACUAACGUUUUUCUUUGAAUUUUUUAUAAUAUCUUACUCAAAUUAUUUGGUUUGGUAUAUCUGAAAUGUUUUGCUCUUACCUUUCAUAAUUAUGUUUUUAGAAGACACUAGUGAAUGAAAUCAUUUUUAACUAAGGAAAAUGUGGAUGAAAUUGGGCAUGUUUGCACAAUCAGCUGUAAAGCAUUUUAUGCUUUAAAUACUGCAAAAAGUCAACUAUCCCACUUGAACAAGAAAUCAAUUGAUAAAUAGUUGUUGGUUGGUGUAUAAUAAAUGUAGAGUAUAUUUUAUUUUAUUUUUUAUGUUAUUUUUUAUGGUUAUUAGGAAACAGUUAUUUGAGGUAUUUUUGCAGUCUUAGUUAACAAAUAUAAAUAGGUGAGAAAGCAUAGGAAUUCUUAGUUAACAAAUAUAAAUAGGUGAGAAAGGAUAGGAAGUCAAGCAAUCUUUCUAUGAUAAUAAUAAUAAUUAAUAGAUGAGAAAGUAUACUAGUAGUAGCAGUUGUUGCACAAAUAGUAACAACACUAUUAAUAAUAAUAAUUAAAAAAAAUCUGAAAUCUCUAUGGUUGUAAAUUGAUUUUUCUGAUGAUUAUGGUACAAUCUUCCAACUUAUUUGAGGUCAUUUGGUUUAUUUUUUCUAUUUUCUAUAAUUUUUGGAUAAUUGAUCCUCAUGUUUUCAUUCUGAAAUUUGGGGCCUUUUUUUUUGGGUCUUGUUAGCUUAAAAAUCCUCGCUAAAUGGCACACCUGGAAUAGGAAAGUGUUUAAGUGUUGCUGAUUUGUUGAAUUUAAAAGUGUUUUUUGGCUUUGGAGGGAUUUGGCAGCUUGCUUUGAUGGUUCAUUUAUGGCUGAAAGUUUGGACAGAUUUAUUUUGGUAGUUAGAAUAUUAUUCUUAUUGUUUCUUUGUGUCGUGUAAAGCUUGGAUGGGUCAAAUCUGAUAUUUUUUGGGUGGAUGAUAAAUUACAAACAUCCAAGGAUAAUGAAACACCAAAUUUGGUCACAUCAAAAGAACAAAAUGGAGUUAAUUAUUUUGCUUGCACCAUGCUUUCCACAUUUUUCUAUGUAGAAAUACGAAAUUAAAUACUUAACAAAUAAUCCUCUAUUAAAUAAGAAGGCUAGGGAAUAAAAAAAUUCAAUGUGUGAGGACUACAAUGUUAUGGAAUGGCAAUGCCAGAGUAUGAAAUCCUAGAUGGCAACUACAAGUGAGUCCUAUGAUGGCUCUAAGAAGAUUUAGUAUUUGAUAGUAGUCAUUUUCAUAAUAAGGUAAUGUUUCUCAGGUUUAUGAAUUGAAUGUGAAAAUCUUCACCACCUUUGGAAAAAAAAUUUCACCAGUAAGCAAUUUGGAAAAUCUCUCUAAAUACUAUGGCACCCUCAAAAAUUUGUGGGAACAGUAAGUGCAAUAUUGAUCAUCAGUGGGUGUAGGUUGGGGGUGUUCACUGGUUUUGGGAGCUCCUGCUAGGGGCAUUCCAACUCGCUUGGGGGUUGGUUGUUGUUAGGGAGGUGGGUGUUUGUUUUUCUUUUCCUUCUCAUGCUUGCCAUUUGGCCCUAAUUGUAUGCUUCGUGUGUGCUUCAAUGAGCCUUUUUGUUGGCGUCUUUAGUAUAUUAUCUUUUUUACCUAUCAAAAAAAAAAAAAAGUAAGUGCAAUAUUGAUCUUUUAACUGCUGACCUAACACAACAAAAACAACACUAGGAGUUUAUGCCUAUUUCAUGUUAUCUAGUUUAGACUCAAAUCUUUGCGGUUUUAUAUAUUAUAUUCUUCUAAGCAAGACACUACCAAUUGUUUUUGUGAAAAGAGAGAAAAGGGAGAAUCCCUAAUUUUUGUUAUUAAAAAAAAUUGUUAAUAAUACACAUUGGACUUGGGUAUAUAUAUACAUGUUAGUGGGAUCCACAAUACAAUAAGGAAAGAAAAGGAAAAGUAAAUAACUGAAAUAACUGUACACUAUCUAACACUCCCCCUCAAGCUGGAGCAUAUAUGUUAUAUGCACCAAGCUUGUUACAAAUGUAUUUAAUUCUAGGACCUCUGAGAGAUUUAGUAAAAAUAUCUGUUAGUUGAUCAUUUGAAUUGACAAAACUAGUAGCCACACAUCCUGAUGCGAUCUUCUCUCUAAUGAAGUGACAGUCAACUUCAAUGUGUUUGGUCCUUUCAUGGAACACUGGAUUGGAUGCAAUAUGCAAAGCGGCUUGGUUGUCACAGAUGAGCUUCAUCUGUUCAUCUUUUCCAAAUCUCAACUCCUGAAGAAGAUGUUUCAGCCAUAUGAGUUCACAUGUUGCCAGAGCCAUACCUCGAUACUCGACUUCAGCACUAGAUCUGACCAUUACAUCUUGUUUCUUACUCUUCCAGGAUAUUAGGUUAUCUCCAAUAAAAACACAAUACUCGAAAGUGGAACAUCUAUCUGUGGGUGAGCCAGCCCAAUCUGCAUUUGUGUAACCAACAACCUGGGUAUGACCUCUGUUCUCGUACAACACACCUUGGCCUGGUGUGCUUUUGAUAUAUCGAAGAAUGCGGAUUAUAGCAUCCCAAUGGCUAUCACAUGGUGACUGUAGGAAUUGACUAACAACACUUACAAGAAAAGAAAUGUCUGGACGAGUAAUGGUGAGAUAGUUCAGUUUACCUACAAGUCGCCGAUAUCUCCCAAGAUCUCCUAAAGGCUCCCUCUGUCCUGGUAUAAGUUUGACAUUUGGAUCCAUAGGAGUGUCUAUCGGUUUACAGUCUAACAUACCGGUUUCUUCCAAAAUGUCUAAAGCAUACUUCAUUUGGGAAAGAACCACACCGGAACUGGAUUGAGCUAUCUCAAUCCCUAAGAAAUAAUUGAGUUUCCCCAACCCUUUAGUCUGAAAGUGGGUGAAAAGGUGUUGCUUUAGUUUCUAAAUAUCAUUCUGAUCACUGCCUGUAAUGACGAUGUCGUCCACAUAAACUACCAGAUAAAUACACUACCUCGAAGAGUUAUGAUGAUAGAAAACGGAAUGGUCUGCUGUACUGCGGAACAUGUCAAACUCCUGCACAACAGAACUAAAACAGCUAAACCAUUCGCGAGGAGAUUGUUUCAAGCCAUAUAGAGAACGGCGUAACCUGCACACUAAACCAGACUCCCCCUGAGCAACAAAACCAGGUGGUUGCUCCAUAUAAACUUCCUCAGCAAGAUCCCCAUGAAGGAAAACAUUUUUAAAUAUCUAACUGAUAAAGAGGCCAAGAACGCAUAGCAGCCAUGGAGAGCAAUAAACGAACAGAAACUAUCUUGGCAACAGGAGAGAAAGUGUCACCAUAAUCAGAACCAUAAACUUGAGUAUAGCCUUUAGCAACUAAGCGGGCCUUAAGGCGAUCAACCUGACCAUCAGGGCCAACCUUAACUGUGUAGACCCAAUGACAACCAACUGUAGAUUUACCAGAGGGUAAAACAACAAGAUCCCAAGUGUCAUUGGAGUGUAUAGCAGUCAUUUCAUCUACCAUUGUCUGUCGCCAGCCUGGAUGGGAAAGAGCCUCAGGGGUGCUCUUGGGAAGAGAGACAGAAGAUAUAGCAGAAACAAAUGCAGAAUAAGGUGAAGAUAAUCGAUGGUAACUCAAAAAAUUGUAAAUGGGAUGAGGAUUACGAGUAGAUCGAUUACCUUUCUGAAAAACAAUGGAUAAGUCAGCAGAAGAAGGCAGAUCCGGGGCAGGAGAAGCCGAAGGGAUAGGAAGUGAGUCAGCAGGUACCUCGGCCAAAGAAGGAGGAACAAAGACAUGAUGACGGCGAUGAUAAACCUGAAGUGGGCGAGAAGGCAUUGCAUCAGGUGGGAAGAUAAUGGAAAGGGGUAAGACUUCAGAAACAGGAAGAGACUCAGAGGUGGAGAAGAAUGAUGAGUCCUCAAAGAAAGUGACAUCAGCAACGAGAAAGUAGCGAUGAGUCUUAGAGGAAUAACAACGAUAACCCUUUUGAAGUCUGGAAUAUCCCAAGAAGAUGCAUUUUGUGGCUUUGGCAGAAAGUUUGUCCUAUCCAGGAGUGAGAAUAUGAACAAAGCAAGUACAACCAAAAACACGAGGAGAAAGGAAAUAAAGUGGUUGGUUAGGGAAAAGAAGAGAAUGAGGAAUCUGAUCAUGUAAUACAGAUGAGGACAUACGAUUAAUCAAAUAACAUGUUGUAAGAACAGCGUCCCCCCAAAAACGAAAAGGAACAUUACUAUGGAGAAAGAAAGUACGAGUUGUCUCAACAAGAUGUCGAUUCUUACGUUCAACUACCCCAUUUUGUUAAGGAGUAUGAGCACAAGAAGAUUGAUGAAGGAUCCCACGUUGGGACAUAAAUGAAGUAAAUGGUGCAGAAAAAUAUUCCCUGGCAUUGUCACUGUGUAACACACGAAUAGAAAUAUUGAACUGGAUUUGGAUUUCAGCAUAAAGUUUCUGGAAAAUAGAGAAUAACUCAGCUCGAUUUUUUAUUAAAAAUAACCAAGUACAUCGAAAAUAGUCAUCAAUGAAAGUGACAAAAUACUGAAAUCUUAAAGUAGACGCGGUCCGACAAGGACCCCAAACAUCAGUGUAGACAAGUUCAAAAGGAGACUUUGCCCAAUUAUUCAAACGCUUUGGGAACGAGACACAAGUAUGUUUCCCAAGCUGACGGGACUCACACGUAAGCGACGACAAAGAUGAAAAAUGAGGGACCAUUUUCUGGAACUUAGAUAGACUAGGGUGGCCUAGGAGACUGUGGAUGAGGAGGGGAGCAUCAGUGGAAAUGCAAACUGCAGGAGUUGAAGGCAAGGAGAGGUGAUAGAGGCCUUGAGACUCACGUCCUAUGCCAAUCGUCUUCCCCAUACUCUAGUCCUGCAAGGUCACAAAUUUAUCAGAAAAAGUGAUGGAACAGUUAAGAGUGCGAGUUAUUUUGCUGAUGGAAAUAAGAUUAAAAGGACACUCAGGGGUAUAAAGGACAUAAUGGAGAGGUAAGGAAGGGAAAGGCUGAGCUAAACCAAAACCUUUAGCCAUAGUUUGGGAACCAUUAGCUAAAGUAACGGUAGGUAAGGCAGAAGUAGUAGUAAUAGAAGAGAAAAGAUCCUUAUUACCAGAUAUGUGAUCAGAAGCGCCAGAAUCUAGAAUCCAAGGUCUAAGAGAAGAUGUGUGGGUAAGACAAGCAGAAACAUUACCAGUCUGGGCAAUAGAAGCAACAGAAGCUGACUUGAUGGUCUGAUAGCGGAGAUAGUCAUCAUACUCACUGUUAGUGAGGGAAGUACCCUGAGAUGUGGAGAAACUAGGAGGCUGAGGCGACUGAGGAUCAGAUGACUGGGUCACGUGGGCAGUGCGGGGAGGCCGCCCAUGUAACUGAUAACACCGAUCACGAGUGUGGCCAAGCUUAUUGCAAUAGGUGCAAUGAGGACGUUGGCCUCUACCUUGGUUACCACUGCGUCCUCCUCAAGAGUUAGUUUGAGAAACUAACACAGAAGAAUCUGAAGUGUUAUCAGAUGGCAAAGUCUGAGUGGAGGAGAUACGGAGGAGGUGAGCAAACACAUCAUCCAAGGAUGGAACGGAGGAAUUGCCAAGAAUCUGAUCGCGGACGGUCUCAAGAUCUGGACGGAGGCCAAUAAGCGUAAGAACCAUGAAGAACUUGUCAAUCUGUGUUCGUUGAUCCCCAACAUCAGUAGUAAGAGGCAUCACGGUCAAGAAUUCCUCCUUAAGAGAGGCAAUCUGGCCAAUAUAAGUAGAUAAAUCCAUGUCUUGUUGUCUGACAUUGACAAUAGAAGAAGCCACCUUAUAAAAACGUUGGAUAUCAUUCGUGUAUAGCCCUUUCGCCUGAUUCCAAAAUUUAAAGCAUGUUUUGUAGGCCUGAAGAUGAAGGAGAAUUUUAGGAUCAAUUGAUUGCCAUAACACACUAUAUAACUGUGCAUCUAUCUUCCUCCAUUGUACUCUGUCAACCUCAGGGAUAUCCGCCUCCUGCGUAACAAGGUGAUCCUCAUAACCUUGACCCAUAAACCAAAGCUCCACAGAGGCAGAUCAGGACAAAUAAUUUUCACUGCCAACCAAUUUCUUCGAAGUAAUCAUAGGAGAUCCAGAUAUGACAGAGGAAAAAAUGGAACUUUUAGUAGCCAUAUCUACUUAUCUAGAGAACGAAAUAUGUUUGGAUCGAAGAGAGCCCUAAUACGGCUUUAGAUCGCGGCUGAAAGAAGAAAAAAAAAAAAACCGAGGAUCCGCGGCUGUGAGAGACCAAAUAGUAAAGAAAAACAAAUGUGGCACUACUGGAAGGGUAGAAGAACACUUCCUAAGACACGUGCAGGGCUCGAGGUGGAGAGGAAGUCACCGAAGGUCACCGGAAAAGUUGUUUAGAGGGUCAACGGAGACAAAAAAAACCCCAAAAAAUGCACUUGUAGGGCUCGGAAAGGACAAGCACGGAUGGAGGGUGGCUAGACGGCGUCAGGCGAGGCUGGAGGUGGAAGCACGUGGCCGGAAAGUGCUCCACGCGCCCUCACGCACCGGCGCGUGAGAUUCAAGCUGUCGGCGAAGAAACGCGCGUGGCCGGCGCAUGUAUGAGAAUCUUCCUCCGGUGCUUUGACAAAACUUGAAGAUCUCCUUGCGCACCUGAUGGUAUGGUCAAUGUCAGAAAGGACGUCGCCAGGAAAAGUCGCUGGAAAGUGAGGGUUUUCUGAUGGCGAUACAGUUGAUCAGAAAGUUUUAGGAGAUGGGAAAGGUGACCGAAAUGAAACACGGUCACCGAAAGGUUUCCCAGAAUUGAUUCACGGAUAAACCGGAAAUAAUUAGGUUUUUUUUUUUUUCUCCCUAAGCUCUGAUACCAUAUGAAAAGAGAGAAAAUGGAGAAUCCCUAAUUUUUGUUAUUGAAAAAAAACUAUUAAUAAUACACAUUGGACUUGGGUAUAUAUAUACAUAUUAGUGGGACCCACAAUACAAUAAGGAAAGAAAAGGAAAAGUAAAUAACCAAAAUAACUGUACACUAUCUAACAGUUUUUAAUGUUUAUAUUAAGCUAUAAAGGUCCAUCUAAUGUCAAGGCUCCAUUGUAGCUUGUCCAAAAUAUUUUGUCUUAAUCUCUGAAAGUGGACAUGACAAUAGUUGUGGUGGUGGUCGUGACUUUCCUAGUAAUUCUCAUGGGAAUGGUCACAUUGGUGGACAUGGUGAUAGGAAGUGUGAUCAAUGUGCCAGCACCAAGCAUACUAAGCCUUAUUAUUGAGUGAUAUGUGGUAUGCCACAUUAUAUACAUCAAGUCACUAAUGCCAUAUUACUUAUCAAAAAAAAAAGUCACUAAUGCCAUUAGAUAGUCACUGCAACCUUCUAAUACAUCUAGACAUGUAGCUCCGAAUUCUAACGAUCUCAUCCAAACAUUGCAAAUUACUCUUCCAUCCUCUUUUGCUGCUACUUUAGCCAAUUCAGGUGAUAUUGCAUGUUGCCCAAUCUUCUCUAUCCUCAGUCAUUGACUAUAGAGCUAAGUCCCAAAUAUCUAGUAAGUUAUCCGUCUUCUCUCUCUCUUUUUUUUUUAAUAGGCAAAGAUCAAAUAUAUUAAAAGUGUCGAACAAACAAGCACACAAAAGUAAACAUAUUUUAUACAAAGGUGCCAAAAGGCCAAACAACGGUGGAGGGAUACACAAAAAAAACUCCAUUGCCUUACUUAAAGCCUAGCCAAACAAUUAAGUUCAUCAUGGACAAUGAGCAACCUCCUAUAUACACUCUAAUCAACUCUAAAAUAUUAUGAAUCAAGGAUUAUUGGAUUGUUUGAUAUGCUUUUUUGGUAUUUUUAAACACACUCAUAUCUCUCCUUUCAUAUGGUCCAAAAUAAGUACAAAGGAGAUGCUUUUCAAUCUUUCUUCCUCUUAUUCCCAACAAAAAUCUAUGUUAACCUUAAAGGACAUCUUAAAAUCUAUCAUGGACAAUGAGCAAUCUCCUAUAUAUACUCUAAUCUACUCUAAAAUAUUAUGCAUCAAGGAUUGUUGCAUUGUUUGAUCCGUUUUUUCAGUAUUUUUAAACGCUCUCAAAUCUCUCUUUUCAUAUGGUCCAAAAUAAGCACAAAGGAGAUACUUUCCAAACUUUCUUCCUCUUAUUCCCAAUAAAAGAUCCAUGUCAACUCAGAAGGACAUCUUUGAUUGAGGAGAGCAUCACCCACAAUACUAAAAGAAGAGCAUAAAUAGCUACUAUAACAUGACUACUUUCAAGCAACGAACUAGAAUGUGACUAACCGUUUCUUCUUUUCCUCUGCACAACAUCCUCUAACCCCUCCUUUUGAGCUGAUCAAAUGUUGAUAUUCUUCUCCACUUAGCUUCCUAAGCGAAAAACUUGACCCUCAUUGGAACCCAAGGAUUCCAAACAAUGCAAGAGCAGAACGCCUUCAUUCUUCCAUUGGAUAAAGAGAAAUAUAAAGACUUAAUUGUAAAUUUACCAUGCUUCAAAUUGAGCCAAACCAUUUUAUCCUCUCUACCCUUACUAAUCGUUCAUACUUGCAAGUUCCUAAAAAGGCCUCCACCUCAUAUAGCUCAUGUCUUGUGAACCUAAGGUUCCAACAAACUCAUUCCCCUUUUUGCUCCCACAUCUCAGCUACUCAUGCAUCUUUGGUAGUGAUUAUUAAGAACAAUGCAAGAAAGGCCUCUCCCAAGGGCACAUCACUGCAUCACUUAUCCUUCCAAAAUUUUACCCCAACUAUUCUCCAUCUUAAAUCCAGUUCUACUGUCAAAAACCUCCCACCUGCUUCUAAUUGCCUUUCACACCCCCACCUCACACCCUUCCCUCACUCCUCUAGAGCACCAUCCCCCCCUUCUUCCUCUCCAUACUUUUUUCCCUAUAAUCACCUGAUUCCAAAGGUAUUCAUUCUCAAUCAUAAAUCUCUAACACCAUUUAUCAAGAAGAAUCUUGUUGAGAAUGAACAAACUUCUAACACUCGAUCCCCUACUCCUUUUGUCCAUGUAAAUUGUCAACCAAUUCACUAGAUGAGGCCUUCUCAUAAGAGCCCCUCCCUUUAGAUCCUUUCCAAUCUUAAACUUACCAUCUUGGUAUGAAAAAUAAUGACAUGUAGUAAAUUGGUAAGUUGUGUCUCUUCCACAUGGCAAGUCGUUUCUGAAAUCUCCCUUCCACCACAUCCCAACUCAUAAAAGAUCCAAAAGGAGCUCCCAAUGGAAGGCCCAUAUAAUUGGUGGGUAAGGUACCCACUCUACAACCUAAUACCUAUCUAGGUUCCACAUUAACUAGUACCGACUAGCUUUUCUCCAAAUUGAUUUUUAAACCUAAUAUUGCCUUCAACCACAUGACCGUCUAGCUCAAGUAUGUCAUAUGUUCCUUACUAGUAUCACAUAGAAUAAGAUAUCAUCAAAAAGUAACAAGUGAGACACUCCUCUUCCACUACAUGAUAAUCUCAUGAUCCAUAGAAAUGCACUACUUAAUCCACCCUAUUCACUUAGAACCAAAUCUCAUUUAUACCAAGACCAUUGGUAAAAACGCCUAACUGACAAGAUCACACGCCUUCUUCAUGUCUAGCUUACACAUGAUCCCAUUCUCAGUUUUUUUUUAGCCUUAAGUCAAUGGCUUCAUUUAUUACGAGGACCACAUCCAAAAUCUAUUUACAAACCACCUUUUCGACCUUUUUUUUUUAAUCUGUUAACCAAAGAGUUUUGCUAGAAGCUUGUAUAGGCCCCCUAACAAACUAAUCAAUCUAAAACUUUUUAAAUCUUCUAUAUCCUUUUUUUUUUAAGAAUAACGCUAUAAAAAUGGCAUUUAAGCUUUUUCGAAAGAGGCUAACUCAUAGAACUCCACACACACACACACACACACACAUAUAAAAAUAAAUAAAUAAACUCACUAUACUUUCUAUGAAGUUCCAACAAAAUUGCCAAAAGGGCAUGGAGAAGCCAUCUGGCCUCCAUGCACAAAUUGGAAAAGGGUGACCUGCUCCUUAAAGAAAGUCUCUCCAAGGACCUUGAAUCUUCUCCAAUUUAAAACUUGCACCAUCACAUUGUUUUGCUAAAGCCUUAAAUUGUUCCGCAACUUUUUCUCCCAUGUCAUACGUCUUUCAUAAUCUCCAAACAAAAAGAAUGAUUCAAAGCAUGAGGAAGAUGGGUUGUAUUACAUAGAUCUUAGUGAACGUUCUUCAUUAGGAUUGAAUACUACAAUCUCACAUCUUUAAUGGCAUUUCCGUCUAGGGUAUCCAUAUUUGCUAGUUAUACCUAUAAUGAGUCUUCGUCCUAUUUUGAUACCUUUCCUCAAUGGGAGAAUCUCCAUGGUUGUUUCACUGCAUUUGAUAAGAACAAAUGGCCCAACCUUGAAUCUUCUAUCCCAAUUAGAGUAUCUAUUCCCAUUGUUUUCUAAGCUUUCAAAUUGUUCUAUAACUUUUUCUCUCAUGUCAUAUGUCUUUCAUAAUUUUCGGACAAAGAGGAUGACUCAAAGCAUGAGAAAGAUGGAUUGUAUGACAUAGAUCUUAUUGAAUGUUCUUCAUUAGUAUUGAAUACUACAAUCUCACAUCUUUAAUGGCAUUUCUGUCUAAGGUAUCCUUAUUUGCUAGUUAUAUCUACAUUGAGUAGUUGUCCUAUUUUGAAUGUGAAGUUAUUUUAAUUUGGCACACAUCACCUUACUUUCUUUCCAAGUUGCAGUCAUAGUUGACAAUUAAAGUCUUUUGAUGUCAUCAACACAAAUAUUUGGGUCCUUCUCGAAUUACUAGUUUGAAUGGAUUUGGUUAUUUUGUUACAUUUUUUAAUAUUACUCAAGAUUGACAUGGUUAUUUUUUAUGAAAAGGAUAUCUAAAUUACCUAGCAUUGUUUAUAAAUUUUACGACGAAAUUCUUGUACAAUUAGGUGAACAUAUAAAAGUUGUUCAACCUAAUAAUGCAACAGAAUAUGCACAAUCUAUCAUGAAUUCAUUUUUUAUUAAUCAUGGUCUCGUUCACCAAGCUAGUUGUGCUCACACCUCUCAACAAAAUGGUGUUGUUGAAUGAAAGCCUCAUCAAUGAUUGGUUGUGCACCUCAUCAUUCGAUAUGUAGGUCCUAACACAUUUUUCAGCUAAUGUUAUUCUUACUGCAUGUCCUCUCAUUGAUUGUAUGCUCACUACUAUUAUCAAUAAUCAAACUCCUUUUCCCCCUUUACAACCAAGCCUCUCUCCUUUUCCAUUCGCUCAUUAUGUGUAACAAACUUUCUCCUCAUGCUUAAAUGUUAUUGUUGUUACAACCCUACAUCUAAAUGAUACUUUUGAGUGCCAACGCUAUAUUUUUCUAGUCAAUUCCCUUCUUUUCUUCCCUUGGUCAAUGUUCAUCUACACAUCUCAUAACUACUUGAGGGGAAGUUCCUAUAUUCUCAUUCUCUUUGAUGUCCUAAGCCUCCUUUAUAGUCUAUCAACAAUCCAAAAAAUCAACAAUUUAUUUCUCCUGGCCCAUGUUUAGCGUCCUCUCUACCGAAGGAUCCUAUUCCUUCAUCAUCCAUCGUAGAUGCUAUUGAUUUACCAAAUCCAUUACAUCAAGGUAAAUGCAAUUGUACUGAACAUACUAUUGCUAAUUUUGUGUCUUAUAGUCAUGUUUCCUUAUCUUUGUACUCUUUUUUUUCUUUUACCUUGUCUCCAUGUCUAUUCAUGCAUCUUAUCAAGAUGGUUUAUCUUCAACAAGAUAGAAAGAUGCUAUGAAUAAGGAAAUGAAUGCCCUUCACAAGAACCCAUCUUGGAAGCUUAAUAAAUUGUUCUCUAGGAAGAAGAGAGUCAAUUAUUGUUGAGCAUAUGAAUACAUUCACGAUGGUUUUAUUAGACAUCUCAAGGUACACUUGGUUGCAAAAGGUCCUACAUUAUCAUAUUAAUUACUUUGAGACAUUUCCUAUUGCUUGUCCUAAUUUGCUAUGAGUUAUUUUUUGCCAGUUGUGACCUUCUAUAUUAGCUUCAUAUAAAGCAUGUUUUUCUACACGAUAACUUACUAGAAGUAUGUAUAGAUCAACUACCUGGUUAUAAUAUUAUAUAAGGCUAAAGGUGGGCUUGAGGCGUUUUUCCCUAAUGAGGCAAGGAGAGUUAAAGCUCGAGGAGAAACAAGACAUAAACAUCAACUUAAACAGAUAAAUAAAUAAAUAAGAAUUUAAGAAAACAAAAACCAAUAUAAAAUUACAUGAAAUUUGAAUAAUAAAAAAAUCAUGAAAUUCAUAAUAACAAAAUCAAUUGUUUGUUAUUGUCAAUAAUUUCUAAUUCAGAGUGCAUUUGGCAAUGUUUCUAUUCGACAUUUUUAAAUUCUAUAAGUGUUUUUAGAAGAAUCACUUAUCAAGUGCUUAUCUAGGAAAUAUUGCAAAUGAUUAUUCAACUUUUUAAAAGUAUUUUCUAAAUUUUGCCAAACAUCUGAAUUUUCUUAAAAAACACUUUUUAUGCUAGAAGUGUUUUCUAAAGCACUGUCGAAUGGACUCUUAGUUUCUUUUUCUUUUCUCUAAAAUUAAACUCUAUCAUGGCUUCAUCAAAUAAUCUUUUAGCACUACCAUCACUAUCAUGUAUAUAAGAUCUUGCAAAAAUCAUAAUCAUAUAUAACUAUUGUAUUAUCCUCCUCAUCAUGGUUAAUAUUUGCCUAUUCUUCUUCUCAUCCAUCAAUUGUAGAUAUAUUUUUCAUCUUCUAUCAACAAUAUGAUAAUGAUUAUUUAUGAGCUCAAUCAUCAGAGAAGCCAACAAUUUCCAUAUUUCUUCUAGCCUAGACAGAGAAAUAGUACCUAAUACAUUGUUGGAUGGGCAUAUCUACCAGCAAACAAACACAUGGUAAGAACUUGAUUAAGGUGAGAAUGACCAACUUGAUGAAGACUAGUCAACUCCCUAAGCACCUAUAAACAAUUUGUUGUUUAUCUCCCAAGAUAAUGAAUUAAGAAUUAAAAAUAAAACCUUCAAGACACCAUGGACUAAAAAUCCAAAUAUGAACUACAAGAAAGAAAAGAAAACCAAAUAACAUAAACUUAUCCAAAUUCAUCAUAAAAAUAAAUUGAAAUUAUCAUUUACAAAUUUCUUAAACAAGAGCCUUUAAAGAAGUUAAUGAUAUGAAAAAAUCUAAAGAAAAGGUAUCAAGAAGAAAAUAAUCAGGACAAACUAUUGGUAAGAUUUUAACCAUCGAGAUUGAUAUGUAAACUCAAAUACAUAUAUUUGUUUCUUUAUAAGUUUUUAACCUUUGGUGCACCAUCUCUUUGGCGCUUGUUUAUAAAAAAUUGUAUUAGUUGCUUAUCAAAAAAUAUGACAACUCCAGUACCUAUAUAUUGAUCAUAAAAAACCAUGCUGAGUAUCAUUAUUAUAUGCAUGAACAUCCAUUAGUUGAUAAAUAAGAUUUAUCUUUGGAAACGAAGUCAUGUCAGCAUAUUAUGUUUACUGGAAUAUUUUCCCGUUUACAAGUCUGAUUAAAAAUAACAAUUACUUUAACUACCUACCUAAAUCUUUGUGCAGUGAGGAUCUAGGAGCAAGCCUUGCUGAAUGCAAAAGUUGAAUAUUUUCAUUUAUUUUCUCAGUAAUAUCCUUGUAAUCAUUCCGCAGCUCUGCAGUAAAAAGAAAAAUUAAACAAGAAGUUCCAAUAAAACAAAAGUCACAUCUAAAAAUGUUAAACUCCCAGUAGCAAUGUAAUAGCAGCAGAAGCAAUCAAUGUAGUAGUAGGCUUGUAGCAGGAGCCACAGCAGUACAAACAGUAGAGCAACAAAGAUAGCAGGUUGGUUUCAGAAAAUUACAUGGGUUGUCACAACCAUGGUUUUAAGUUGACCCCUCUAUAAUGUUGUGUCUGUUUUAGCAUGUUUUGUCAGACCAUUGCAUUCCUAUUUUGCAGUUAUCUGUUAUAUUAAACUAUUAGUUGUAUUCAUUUAUUCAUUUAUUUAUUUUAUUUUUUAUUAUUUUUUUAUAAGCAUUAGCUGCAUUUAUGACCCUAUCAUCAAAGUAUACGAAGUAUGUUAAAAAAUAGAUACUAGCCAAAAUUCCCAUUUCCUCUAAAUGCAUCCUAAUAUUAGAAGCAUACAAGAAAAUGAAACCUAAGCAUACUUCACUGAUUAAAUUUUAUCUCCUCUCUCCUCCAAGGCUCCAACCAAAGUUUUUAAAGGCGAAAGCGUAAGGCGAACCAUUUUCGUGUCCUUGAGGCGAGGCGUAAGCCUUUUGAGACUAUCAUUUUUAGAAUUAAUAAAUAUUAAAAUAUAAUUAAAAAUGUAUAAAAAAUUUAAAAGAUAACUGAAUUACAUAAAUUUUUGGUAUUAAAUCUCAAAUUAAUUUCAUAACCUUUUUUAGAAUAUAAAAUAAUAAAAUUUCAAUUAUAUAAUGAAGUUCAAAGUCUACAAGUUCAUAUUCUAAAUAAUUUAAAUAUUAAAUCAAUUGCCUAAUUUUUUUGCUAAUUUUUUUGUUGUUUGAAAAAAUUAAUAACUAAAGAAAAUUACAAAGUAAAAUAAAAUUAAUUAUCUAAUUUUUUUUUACUAUUUCGAAAAAUCAAUUAUCUAAAAUUUUUUACUAGUUACUAUAAAAUCAAUUAUAGAAAAAGUAAAAUUAAUUAUCUAAUUUUUUUUUACUAUUUCUAAAAAUCAAUUAUCUAAAAUUUUUUACUAUUUACUAUAAAAUCAAUUAUAGAAAAAGAAAUUAGUGGUUUGCUAAUUUUUUAAAUAGAAAAAGGGAAAAAAAAAAAAGGCAGCUUCAUUAAACAAAGAGAUCAAGAUGCUUUUUGAAAAACCAAAACAAAAAAGAAAGAUAAGGAAAAAACAAAUAGGUGUGAAAAAAAAAAGGACAAUAUAAAAUGAAAAAUAAAAUAAAAAACCAAUUUGGGAGAAGAAAAUAUAUUAGAACUGGAGCAAAGAAAAGAACGGAGAACAAAGAGGGAGAAGAAGAGUCGAGGACCAUAUUGGGAGAUCUCUUUGGAGCAAUGGGGAGAUGUCGAAGCUAUCUACACCAGAGUGAGCCAUUGCCACAAUUCACCAAUAGUAAAUUAAGAAUUAGGGUUUUCUUGUGUUUUCUCCUUUGAUUGCACUUUCCACAGGCUCUUUUGGUUAAAGACAACCCUUUUUGUAUUUUUUAUUUAUUUUAUUUUUUUGGUCUAGUCGCAACAACAAAAACACAUCUGAGGCCUAUGCCUCAAGCACUAAUGCGUUCAAGGCGCACUGGAAGCGUGCCUUAGAUACGCUUUGACUCCAGAGGCGUGCGCCUUUUAGGAGUCUAGCACUUUUGUGAACACUUCAACGAGUUUUGGGAAUGCUUCGCCUCAAGGCGCACCCUGAAGCGAGCCUCACCAACACCUUUGAAAACACUGGCUCCAACGGAGUACUUUCUCACAUUCUGCUGCAUGGAAAUCUAAAAUAUUACACCUCAUUGCAGGUAAUUGCUACAAAUGUGAGUAUAGAAUGACUUUUAACAAACACAAGUAGGGAAGGGAAGUUACGUGCAAUCUUUUUGGCCAAGAAUGUAACACCAUGAGAAAUUGACUUUCAGAUUUUCUGUUGUAAUGCCAGAGGGCAUAAUUGACCUCCUCCUCUAGGUUUAACUCCCAAUUCCACAAAAAAGUCGAAGAAUCUAGUAAUGAACAGUCACAUCUUUUUUUAUAUGAAGUAAUAACCAAUCACAUCAGAAAUCAACUUCAAGAUUUCUGCAAGGCAUAACACAUUUAAAUAAAUAAUGGAUAUAAAUAGUUUUUUACCACAAAAAACAAUUUCAUUGCCACCUAGAUCAAGAAAGUACAAGUUAUCCUUAAAAAUAAAAAAAGAAACACAACAACCAAUAACCAAAGACACUUAUAAAACUCAGAGGGGAAUGAAGUUGCCUACAAAAACCUCUCAACAGCUCUUAAGUUGGCCUAAGAAUCUGCUAACUGGGUGGCCAAGCAUGGGAAAGAGAAAGAAUGACCAUAGUCUGACGUCAAAUCUAAAAUCCUAUGCAUCAAAUCCUUCAUUCAAGGACCUCACUUUCUCUAAGUAUCCAGGGAAUAACUAAAAACUGAAUCACCCUCUACAGGAAGUUGUUGACACCAUAAAGAUUUGCUUGGGCUAGGCCUUCCAACAGAGAUAACACCUCAAACUCUAUAACCAAACCCACCCAGCAGGCAACUCUAACCACUCCUCUAUCAUAUAUAAACGUACAAAUCCAAGCACAAUUCAAUUAAGUGUUCGCUGCACAUCAUCUAAAGUUCACUUUUUUUUCAAUCUUGAAAAAGAAUAAAAUAAAAUCUUGAAAGCAGCUCACCCACAUGAGUACCCCGAAAAGACACACUAAAAGCAACUCAUGCUGUUGGCUGUCCUUCCGCAAAUAUGUUUGCUAUCAACUCAUUACAAACAGCUAGGGUUGUCUCCUAAGUUGGACUCACCUAGUUAAGACAAACAUCACAUUUUGCCACUUUGCGUUCAAAGGCAAACCAAGUCAAUCGUUUUGUUGUAAAGGGACAUGUUUUUAGGAGCAUAUCUUAGCCUCCAAACCAUUGCAAACUGAAAUCAACCCAUGAAAGUUUGAGAGCAGACAGAGCGCAGGUCUUAGUUUUUUGAAUUCCCAAAGAUCCCUGUAGAUGGACUGAUGCAAGAAAGAAAUUGAAGGUAUAACCCUGUUAAAGAUAUAAAUUAUAAAAUUACACAAAUGUUCUAUCUUGAUCUAAAUGCUUCAAUAACAUCCAUACUCAAAUUUUCUUAUUUCUAGCCAUACUUAUGCAAAUAACAAUAGGAGAACCAUAUUAAAAUUUUCUGGGUGAGAAUUAUACACAUCCAUGCAUAUAUUGAUUAUUUUGGCAACCUAAAAGUGAUCAUACAAGGCGGCCACGGGCCCCUAGGCCUUCCAUGAGGCUGCAGGGCUUGGCUUUGUGACAGACAUCUUCCCACCCUUUGGGCAAGCCAUGCCUAUCUUAAGUCCAAGAGUCUCAACAUAGGCCCAAAAGGAGUUUCCAGGCCCUAGGACUGCCCCUGCCCACUUUGUCAUGAACCAAAUAAAAGGCUAAAGCUUUGGGCUCAACUUACACAAAAAGGAUUGGCCAAGCCCUUGGAUAGACCCCACCAAGAAGCCAAGCAACAUAGUCACUGGUGAGCUCUUCUUGAAAUUACAGAUUCUUUUGGUUGUACCACAAAUUUCAUCCUCAUUGCACUAAAUUCUCCAACUUGUAUUCAUCAUUUUCAAAAACUUAUGGUACACAUCAAGGUACAUAUGAUUCAACACAAUUUUAAGUAAAGCAGUACACAUCAGUAAGUGUAUUAUAUGCUACAUAUGCAAUACACAAUAUGAUAUAUAAGAUACACAUCUUUUAAUAGUUUUAGUAAAAAAUCAAAUUUGAACUAUUUUUAUUUGAAAGUUCAUUAUAUUAUUUUUUUUUUUAAUUAAAAGGUGCUUUAAAGUUAAAAUUAGAUGACAAAAGGAAAGAAGGAAAGGGAGAGAUGGUGUUUCUAUGUGGAAACACUGUACACAAGGCAUGUUGAAGGCAUGCUUGAAGAUUUGGAACAGAGAAAGGCAUGCUUGAAGAUUUGGAACAAAGAAGUGUUUGGAGAUGUCACUGCUAGAAAAGAUUCAGUUUUAAAGCAGAUGGUGUUUUGGGAUUCAAUAGAAGGGGAUAGGGUCUUGUCUGUUGAAGAGCAAAGUUUCAAAAAGCAAGCUUUGAAGGAGUAUAAGAAGUGGGUGAUAAUGGAAGAGACAUCCUGGAGGCAAAAGUCUAGAGAGUUAUGGCUGAGGGAGGGUGACAGAAAUACUGGUUAUUUCCAUAAAAUGGCCAAUGCACAUAAGAGGGUCAAUACCUUGGUGAAAAUUAAGAUAAGUGGGUCGUGGGUAAUAGAAGAACGUGACAUUAAAGAUGGUGUGGUUCAGGUUUUCCAUUCUCUGUUGUCAAAAACAGAUGAGUGGAGGCCCAGAUGCAAUGGGCUGCAGGUUGGGGUCCUGGAAGGGGAAGUUGCAGGAAUGUUAGAGGCUCCUUUUUUGGAGGAAGAGGUGUUUGGUGCUCUCUCAGACCUUAAUGGAGAUAAAGCUCCUGGUUUUGUUGUGCCAAAUUGUAUUUAGGUGAGGAGUCUCUCUCCCUUAUAGGCUUUUUGGAGUGGGUAGCAUCCACUUAAGGGGAGGUGAAUCCUUUCUGGUUUUGUUGUUUUUUUUAGGCCUUAGCCGCCUUGUAUACCCCUUGUAUGCUUUGUGGCUUUUU
rnacentral:lncRNA from 1 species